AGAAGGAAGGAAGGACGGAAGCAAGGAAGGAGAAAAUUGAUGCUAACCUUAAACAAUACUUCCCUGGACUACACUUAGCUUGUUUGUGUUUUGUUUUCUUGCUUUGUUUUGCUUGUUUAUUUGCUUAUUCAUUUUGAGUCAUAUAAUAGCACUUUUGGCCAGGCACAAUGGCUGAUGCCUAUAAUCUCAGCACUUUGGGAGGCUGAGGCAGGCGAGUCACAAGGUCAAGAGAUCGAGACCAUCCUGCCCAACAUAGUAAAACCCCAUUUCUACUAAAAUGCAAAAAUUAGCUGGGGGUGGUGGCGCACAGCUGUAGCCUCAGCUACUCGGGAGGCUAAGGCAGGAGAAUUGCUUGAAGCCAGGAGGUGGAGGUUGCAGUGAGCCGAGAUAGUGCUACUACACUCCAGCAUGGUGCCUGGUGAAAGAGCGAGACUCUGUCUCAAAAAAAAAAAGCACUUUUAAACUGGCUGUGAAAAGGCUGCUUACAAGAUUUGUUAAGAAGAUUUAAAAUGUGACUCGCAGGCCAGGUGUAGUGGCUUAUGCCUAUAAUCCCAGCACUUCGGGAGGCCAAGGUGGAUGGAUUACUUGAGGUCAAAAGUUCGAGACAAGCCUGGCCAACAUGGUGAAACCUCAUCUCUACUAAAAACACAAAAAUUAGCCAAGUGUAGUGGUGUAAUCCCAGUCUGUAAUACCAGUUGCUUGGGAGGCUGAGGCAGGAGAAUCACUUGAACCUGGAAAGCAGAGGUUGCAGUGAGCCACAUUUACACCACUGCACUCCAGCCUGGAUGACAGAGCAAGACUCCAUCUCAAAAUAAAAUAUAAAAUAAAAUAAAAUAUGACUUGCACUGGCUGUAUGGAACACAUAGGAAGACCCCAGAAGAGUACUCAACAUUAAUCACAUGGUCAUUUGUAUUUUUAUUAAUUACAGUUCUGAUUCAAGGCAUGGAUUACUGUAUAAAAGAAAAAGAUCCUUUCUAUAGUCGAACCUGGGAAUCACAUAAUCUGGGUUUCUUUUAUUGUGCUUAUGGGGAAAUUGACCAUAACCCUCCUACAUUUUCCUCUACUUUGACAGCAGGAUGAAGUUCAAGGGAAAAAAAAUAAAAGCCCAAAUUGCUGUCAUGCUCAAACUGGGAGCACCAGGAAAUGGACAGAAAUCAGACUAGAGGCUUUAUGGAGCAAAGCCCAAUAGCUAAUAUAAGAUUCCUAAAAGAACAUAGCCAGAGUUGAAAAGCUUUGGGGAGACACUGGAAACCAUCUGAACUAAGAGAGUUAAUCAGAAAUGGGACCUCCAGAGGUUUCCCAUCUCCAGCUAAGCACUGCAGCACCUGAUCAGGUGACUUUGGUUGCUGAUGGGUGACAGCUUAAUUUACAAGAAUGCCAAGCAAGAGAAAUUUGAAAAUAAACCAAAUAUACACUUUAUAAGGAGAGGGAAAUGUGAUUCUGCACUCUCUAGCAUACUUUACCCGAAGCUUCAUCAACCCCAUAAUAAGAUGAUACCUUACCUGGAUGAAACGUUAAUAUUAAAUAUUAUGAGAAAUUUGCUGGAGAUUGUGCUGUACAUAUUUCUGGUCUAACUUGUCUCUCCUAUUUUAAUAAAGAAUAUGUAUGUAUGUGCACAUAUAUUUUAGAAAUUUCCAUUAGGAAUUAAUUCUGAUAUCUUAAUAGAUUAACCUUGCUGGUAUCUAACAUAAUUUAUUUUAAAAAUUAAAUUCCUACUACAGCAAAGAUUUUAAUGGGUAAUCUUUUUCUGGUAUCCCUCUGGAAAUCUCCAUGCCUGAGGCUGCACUAUUCCUAAAGGCCCGCUCCCCCGUGGACUCUGGUGGGAAGCCCUCCUGCACAACAGCUGUGAAAUCAGACCAGCAUUUCUAAGUAGAAUCUCUCAGACAAAGGAUGGGACUGUCAUCUACUACAGCAUUUUGCAAUGCCUGAAAUAUCUUAGUCUUUUGACACCAUUAGCCUUUUCACCCUUUUCCUAUCCUUCCUCUCUGGGCAACCAAGAGGCAUUUCACGAGUGUAGGAUGACAGGCAAACAUCUGCCUUCAUGUUGAGGAGGCUCAAAAGACCAAGAACUUAGCAUGUCCGAAUUCCGGGUGCAUUCUCAGAGAUAGGAUUUCAGCAACUCUUUGACAUUGACUUUUCUGAUGAAUUGUGAUUCCAACAAUCAUGUUACCUGCUCUACACAAACCUUCUAAGACAACUUUGCCAGGUCUGCACUCUGCCCCCACAAAAAAGAACACAAACAAAUGAAAAACUAGAUCGGGUUCUUCUACACACUUGAGGAGGGUAAAGGAAGGCAUCUUUUAUCUGCCAUUUCCCAUCUCACAGAGAACCUGUGAUUCUUUUUAUUUCCAGAAAAUAAUUGUUGGCUAGAAUUCUAUCCCCUACAUGAUUGGCUCCAUUUCAGCACCAUUUCUAGAUACCUGCCUGCUUGGGGCACUAAGGCUACUGCUCUGUCCCCAGUCCUGCCAUAUGAUCUUCUUUUUCUGUUCUAUAAAGUGGCUCCAAUUCUAAUUCAGAGGGUCUCAAACAAUCACUAUUAAGAGGUUUCUGCUGCAGCCCACUCUCAUGAAACAUGUUUUCAGUACCCUUGAAAGUGCCUGCCUUUGGUGAGGAAUUUCUUUUUCCAAUAAUCUUUUAACUAUAAGCGUAUGAAUGUAGAAUUCCCAAUAUAAACAUGAUAGAGUCCUAAGAGUGCCCGUGGGUCCUUUGCUCAAAGGAAAAGGCUUCUGUGAUUUCCAGUGAGCAUCUUUCUCCGCUAAGCUUGCUGGAGUCCUUCAGCCCCAGUAGAUGUGUUGCAAAAAGCAGUUCCUCCUCCCGCUUGGUGCAUCAGUGUGCUGGCAGGUGCGGCGGAAAUGUGAAGGGGAAUGGGAGGCAUUUCAGGAUGGGCAACCAUUUGAAUUCUAGAAGUCCAUUGCUAAUGACAGCCAGAGUUUAAAUUAAAGAAGAGUCAUCGACUACAGUUCUUUCUUUACUCUUAAAAAUGUAUUUUCUCUCCCUUCAGGUACCCAUUUUAUAAGUUUGAAAAAGCCUAAUUCAGAAAAUGUCUCCUAAUGUCAUUCUUGGUAAACACUGUAUUCUUUCAGUCUAAUCCAGCUGAGAUUAAGAGGAUUUUUUUAUCUUACUCUCUUCACUUACUGUCACAAUAAACUAUGUUAAAAUUCCUUUUUAUAAAAGAUUUUUAGUUUAAUUUCCUCCCCCUUCCUUCCUUUUUUCCUUCCUUCCUUCCUUCUUUCCUCCUUCUUUCUUUCCUUUUGUCUGAAAAUGUAUUUACUUUGCCCACAGCUGGAUUGAUAGUUUAGCUGAUAUAGAAUUAUAGAAAUCACCCAAAACGUUGUCAGCUUCACUCUCAUAAAAUUCUUCAAGUAACAUUUCUAAUUGAAUUAUAACAGAAAUAGAGAAGAGGGAACAAAUUAUCUGUGUAAAUCCUAAAGAAAUGUUCCAAAAAAAUAAACAUACUCUUAUUCCCUAAGGGGGGCUUGAGGUUACAUGAAUGCAUUUAUUAUGAUAUUGAGUACUUCUUAGCCACCAAAAAUGUCUAUGACGAUAUUCUUUCAGCUGAGUUAGGUGACAUAGUUGGUUUCUUCACUGCCUCUGACCAGGGCAGUGGGUUUCUCAGGGUGGUUACAUGGAAUUUCCCAAGCUCGUGGAUGGUAACCUAAAUUCUGUUACUUCCUCCUGGCUAAGCCCUAGUCUAGCUUUUACCAUCAUCCAUUUCUAUAUCUUUUUCUCAUUGUGCUUCUGACAAGACAUGCUCAGGCUGUUGGACUGACGUCUAGCUUUGUAUUUGGAAAAUUAAGAAUCACAGUCACAAAGUGCUUUGACAUUCUAGUGUGCUAUAGAGCUGCUUAAUGCUGAUGGAAUUGCUAUGGAGCUGUCUUCUUCCAAUCACAUCUUCACAGGGAGUGGAGGCUUUAUUGACAGCUCUGGUGGAUGAAGUUUGAAAUACAUGAACAGUCAAGAGAGACUGGAAAUGGAUGGUGGCAUCGCCAGCUUUCUCUCCUCUGCCUUUGUCUUGGUGUCUCAACCCUGUUGUAAAACACCCACUUUAGAGCAGAAGAGAAUUCAAGGGUCCAGUUGGGAGGGGCCAGUAGCUAUUUGAUAUGGUUCAGAUAUGUGUCCCUUCCAAAUCUCAUGCUGAAAUUUGAUCCACAAUGUUGGAGGUGGGGCCUGGUUGGAGGUGUUUGGGUCAUGGGGGCAGAUUUCUUGUAAAUGGCUUUGCACCCUCCUUGCAGUAGUGAGUGAAUUCUCACUCUUUUAGUUCUCACUAGAACUGAUUGUUCAAAAGAGCCUGGCACCUCCUUCCCUUUCUCUCUUUCCCUUCCUCUCUUACCAUGGGAUGCCUGGUUCGCUUUGCCAUCUGCCAUGAGUGGAAGCUCCCUGAAGCCUUCACCAGAAGCAAAUGCUGGCCCCGUGCUCCUAGUACAGCCUGCAGAAUCCCUAGCCCAAGAAACCGCUUUUCUUUAUAAAUUACCCCAGUCUCGGUAUUCCUUUAUAGUAACACAAAACCAGACUAAAUGAUAAUCCUUUUGUGGUUUUGGUUGCAUAGAUUCUAGGUGGGUCAGCAAAAAGAACUGAAAUAAAUCAUUGGUUUUAUGUCUCCAACAGCUCUGCAAUGUUGAUCAUGAGAUCCUGACAUGUUUCCAGGACAUAUAUGAGGGGAUGACACAGAUCACACUUUAAUCUCACAGUUUCUCCUGAACUCCAAAGUCAUUCACCUUCACUGUGCCUCAGUAGUCUACUCUACUGACCACACAUAGGAAUAUGAAAAUACUUGAAAACGCUAUGACUGUAAACUCCACUCUCUGACACCACCAUUCCCUCUUUCCGUGGCCCAUGCUCUCCCGCUACAUCGAUAACUCCAGCCCUUCAUGCCCUCUUCUCCAAGUUGGUUUCCUCUUAGCUUCAGAGAACUUCUCCAUCCAUCUUAGGAGAACUUACCUACCACCUUGUCCCUUCUCCAUUCUCCUCAAGUGCCUUGCAGAACCUGAUGCUGAGCAGCCACGCCAUCACAGCCUCUUCUACAGCAGGAUACUGAGCACAGCUGAGGGAAGCAAUAUAGCGCCACAAAUGGAUUUCACUAGGAAGUUAUGGCUUGAGGCUAACUCAGGCCAUCUGCAUCUGUUGGUAUUCCUCUGCCUUGACUACUUUACUUUUUACCAUUCUCUUCAAGCUUCCUACAUAUCCUUUAUAUUCUCAACAAAUGGCCUUGCCCCAGAUUUACAGAAUAAAUAAUCAGGUACAAAUUUUUUCAAACAUCGUACCCACCAACUACCAGCAGACUAUCUGCUUUCCUAUCUACCCUGCGUCUUCCUUCCCAUCCUAGCCAAAGUGUCCCACCUUCUGCUCAAAGGUACACCCUAAUCCAUGGGUACCUAACUCCAUUAAUGUGUCCAUGUGCUCUCUUGUACUUUCAAAAUCACUUCUUCUGCCAUUUUCUUUGAAAAAAAGGGGCAUGUUCAAAUUUAUACAUUUUUACAACAAUUUCACUCAAUUGUACGUUCCUUGCUGCUGGUCAUAUCCCUUUCCGUUCCUUCAUAAUCCACUGAAUGAAAGAGUGAUCUACAAUCAUGAUUUGCAUUUCCUUAUUUUCUUGGCACCCUUCAAACCAUGGCAGCUUCACUUCUUUAUGUGCUUACUAAUUCAUAUUUCAUUAAAAUGAAAAAUGGUCUCCCAAUUCCCAACGUGGCACUCAUCUGACUUUACAUCUCUCUAUUAUUGAUGUUAGCAACCAUUCCUUGUCUUUUCUCUUUGAAACUUGAGGCUGGGAGCAGUGGCUCAUGCUUGUAAUCCCAACAUUUUGAGAAGCCAAGAUGGGUGGUCAUUCGAGGUCAGGAGUUUGAGACCAGCCUGGCCAAUAUGGUGAAACCCCAUAGCUACUAAAAAUACAAAAAUUAGCACUGGGCAUGCUGGCUCACUCUCAUAGUCCCAGCUACUCGGGAGGCUGAGGCAUGAGAAUUGCUUGAACCCAGGAGGCAGUGGUUGCAGUGAGCUGAAAUCAUGCCACUGCACUCUAGCCUGGGCAACAGAGUGAAACAGUCUCGAAAAAAAAUAAAAGGAAAGGAAAGAAAACUUUAGUUAUUCUUUAAGACCUUAUUUGCAGUAAAAUUUGUGAAUCUAUGUGAUUGUUUGAUGAAUGUCCAUCUCCCCAUAUAUUGUAAACUCAAUAGAGAAAGAAACUAUGUAUCUUUGCUAAACAUGUUAACCCUAGUGCCUAGGACACAUAGUAGGUGUACAAUUAAUGUUUAAUUGAAUGGGUGGAUCAAUGAAUGCUCUCAUGAAAAAUAUAGCACCCUCAUUUAUCCUAGAGUUUCUCUUCCUUCUCUGGGCUGUCCUAUUCAGUUUCCCUCACUAGCCCACCCUUCAUAUGUGAUUGUUUUUCAGGGUAUUAUUUUUGCCUCUCUUUUCUCAAUCUUCAUGAUAUGUUUAUACAGUCUGUUCAUUGCUGUGGUUUCAAGUAUUCACUCUUUUCUAAGCUUUGGUUGAUAUAUCCAGCUUUUUACUAGACAGAGAUACUUUAAAUUUAUCUCUUUAAAAGCUGAUCUCAUCUUCUCCCUCUAUUUUCAUUCUAGUCUCUUCUUAUAGCUCAACUUAUGGCUACUGACAUAAUUAGCAGUGUCGCGGCCCAAGAGACGUGGAAGUCAAUGCAAAUCACUGCUCAUUCUUGUUCUCCGCGUUAUUGCUACUAUCACCAACCCUGCCGAUUCUACCCACCUAAUAGGUUUUAAUUUGUCUUCUAAUGACCAUUCCCACCAGUACUAUUGUUAUAAUUUCUUCCUUGAAAAAUAGUUUUCUAACUUGUCUCCUGGUUUCCAAACAUACAUUUUCAAUCUAUUUUCUGUAACAAAAUUAUAAUAAUUUUAUAGUUUCUUACUCAAAAAAAACAUUAAACAUUUCUGGUGCUUGUUAUAAGAAAUGGAGAAGAAUUCAUGGCAUCCACAAUGAAUGUAAGUUUGCCCUGGCUGUCUCUGCACUCUGUCCUCUCCCUGACCUUCAGCAGCACUGGGCUACUUACGCACCCUGACUCAGUUUGCAUGCUCACCUUUCCCUUCCUCUGCACUGACUGUUUCAUCAGUCUGGAGUGUGCCUGCUACUGUCCCCACGCAACUUGCCACCUGUAAACUUGCUCUUGCUUCAUAAUUUAGUUCAUUCAUUAUCAACUCUGGAAAGUCUUCUAAACUAACAUGUGUUACGUGCCCUCCUUUUCUUUUCCAUAGAACCCUGCCUCUAAUUCUGCUUCAGCGAUUAUCACAGUGUUCUCUAACUCUGUUUGUUUCUCUACCUUUCCACUGUGAAUGGUUUACAGGGUACAAACUACAUAUCCUUGAUGCCUGAGACACGUGGAGUUCAUAUAGUCAGUAUAAUAAAUGUGCAUUGAAUUAUUUUUGAGCUCUUCAUUAUCCAAGUAUGAAACAACUAGGCCCCUUUCCCAUCAAGUUUCUUUAAAAAAAAUUUUUUUAAUUUACCUUUAAGUUCUGGGAUGCAUGUACAGAACGUGCAGAUCUGUCACACAACAUGUGCCAUGGUGGUUGGCUGUACCUAUUAACUUAUUAUCUAGGUUUUAAGCCCAGAAUGCAUUAGGUAUUUGUCCUAAUGCUCUCCCACCUCUUGCCCCCCACCCCCCAACAGGCCCCAGUGUGUGACAUUUCCCUUCCUGUGUUCAUGUGUUCUCAUUGUUCAACUCCCACUUAUGAGUAAGAACAUCUGGUGUUCGGUUUUCUGUUCUUGUGUUAGUUUGCUGAGAAUGAUGAUUUCCAGCUUCACCCAUGUCCCUGCAAGGAUAUUAUGCAUUCUUUUUAUGGCUGCAUAGUAUUCCAUGGUGUAGAUGUGCCACAUUUUCUUUAUCCAGUCUAUUUUUGAUGGGUAUUUGGGUUAGUUCCAAGUCUUUGCUAUUGUAACUCACCAAGAUUCUUGACUUUAAAACAUACUGAAGUUAUCUGGAGUGAAAGAAUGAAUGUGCUCUCUACCACCUUGAGCUAUGGGAAAGGUAUUCUGCAGAUUUUGACACAGCAGCCUCAGAAGAUCUUAACUCAGUCACUCUAGGAUUCUUGUUCUCUCCUUGGACCUAAUGACUGCUUUGGGUGCUCAUGAGGUUUCAUUCCACAUCAAUGGCAAAGGCAGUUCCCAUAUGGCUUCUCUUACUGGUCAGAAGGCUUUGAUCUGGCCCCUUGAACUGCCAGUUGGUCUGUGCUAAUGGAACAGAGACUCACUUUCAUAUUGGUGUAAGACAGUCUGUUGUGUCUAAAAGUUCCUAAAAGUUAACUGUAAAUAACUUUUCAGAACUGAAUUCUCCAAUUCAGAUAAUUUUGAGUUAUCCAAAUUUGUGCAUCCCUGUCUUUGAACUUCCCCCAUAGUGCAGAUGGUUGGGAACUGGCUGAGAGUAAGGCUGCAUGUUGUGCUAUAUGGCUGCACACCCCAAGAACUAGAGGAGGCUUCACCUUUGAGACCUGAUUGCAACUUCCCUGAAGUCCAUGUUUUAUGUAAUGGCAGACUCACAGUAGAAUCAACCCAGAGAAAUCAUGAGGAAGACAGGAAUUUGGGGACAUUCCACACAUCCUCAUGGACUGCCUCCAGAGUACAGAGUCCCUGGGCAGUAGGGCCUGGCCUGCAUGGCAGGUAUCACCAUCUCAGAGUAGAAUGCCUCCCCCUCAAACCUUCUCAGACUGUGUUAGUCCAUUCUCACACUGCUAUAAAGAACUACCUCAGACUGGGUAACUUAUGAAGAAAAGAAGUUUAAUCAACUCACAGCCUCACCAGCUGUACAGGAGGCAUGGCUGAAGAGGCCUCAGGAAACUUACAACUGUGGCUAAAGCAGGUACAGUCCUCACAUGGCCAGAGCAGGAGAGAGAGAAAGAGAGAGAGUGAGCCAAGGGGGAAGUGCCACACACUUUCAGAUAGUCAGAUCUCAUGAGAACUCACUAUUGAGAGAGCAGCAAGCAGGAAAUCCGCUCCAUGAUCCAAUCAACUCCCACCAGGCCCCUCUUCCAAUGCUGGAGUUUACAAUUUAACAUGAGAUUUAGGUGGGGACACAGAGCCCCCACAGAAUACACAGACCAUGUGUAUUCUAGGACUUACCUGUUCUACACCCCAUGCAUUUGGGAACACACUGUUUGCUACCUUACUAGGUUAAAUCAUUGGUCUUCAUGAUCUUAAUGGUUAAUAAUACUAACGGCUAACAUUUUGGGGAUUCUUGGCAAAAACUAACAGUAUUGCCCUUAGUAUUUAGGUUUAUCUCCUUCAAUCCCACCUCAGUCCUUUCAGGUAUAUCCAUGCCUUGUCAUUUUUGCUAUUCUCAGAUAAAGACACUGAAAUAUAAAAGAUUAAGUUACUUGGCUAAGGGCACUGCACUCCUGAAUGGUGGAGAUGAAAUUCCAAGCCGGGUAGUCUGAUUGCAAAGCCUGCGUCCUCACUCCCAUGCUCUAAUGGGCUAGCAGUGCUGUUGCACCUGCCCCAUCCUCUGACUUCCUGCUGUCUGCACUUGUAUGUUCUGCCCCAGGGUGGAGUCUGCCUUCUCAUUCCCAGAGCCCCUCUGUCCUGACAGGCAGGCAGAAAGGACUGAGGCUGGAUUCAUGUCCACCCCUCUCCUGAAGUAGCUCCCUCAAUGUCUUUACGAGUUGGUGUGCACACAUUGCAGCUCUCUCGCCCACCUCCAGUGCAAUAACUCUGAGGUAUGUGUCCUACACUAGUUCCAAGACCGUCCCGAGUAGGAUGAAGUCCCAUUGGCUGGCAGCGGUUGCUUUUCUGACUGUACUUUCAUUUAUUUUGCAAAUAAGCAAAUUCUCUUUAUAUCCUCCUCUCAGUGUCUGCUUCUGUGAGAAUCCAUACUGAAACAAAUGGCUUGCUCCGUCAUUCACUCCCAGGUGCCCUGCAAAAACUUCCAAUGCCCUAAGGAAAGUAAAGACUGACAUCAAGGACUUUGAAGCCACGUGGUUGGCUGGCUUCUCUGUCUUGCCAGAGGCCCCGCUCUGCCUUGCUCUGCCUCUCAACAUUAUCUGCUUUACUCUCUUUCUUAAAGCAGAUGCCUGGUCCCCUAUGCAGGGCCUUCUCACCUUGCUGUGAACACAUUGACAAUAAGUCACUGAAUCUUGCUCCAUUGCACCUGCAAGAAUAAAUGAUUCUCACCUCUUCUCCCUGGGAUCAAGUUAUUUGGUGGCUGGUUAUUGUGACAAAAAUAACUGCAGGUGAAAGUGGCGAAUUGGCUUACUCCAUUCACUGCUACUCACCUGGAAGCCCAACCCACACCUUUCCAGGAAAAGCUGUCUCUAUCCCCACAGCAGGAACCCCACUCCAGGCACUUCCUUUGGCCUAGUUUUUGAGCACCCUCUGGGUUUGAAGUAAUGUGCUAGAUAUUCUUCCAGCCUGUAACUGGUGUUAGAAAACAGUCACUUUCAAGAAUAUCUUAUUUGCGCUGAGUUCUGGACUCCUGCAAGUUUCAGGAGAUUCUGGAGUUUCACAGGUCUCUCCAGACUCCAAGCAGUUGCCGGCAGUGAAUGCACGAUGAGCUCCCCAUUUCCUCGGCAAGGACAGUCCAGGGAAAGAGAAUACCAAAAAGAAACAGAAAGCAGAGGCAACAAUGUAACAGUUCUUUUUAUUGUACUGCCUGACUUUGACUUUUAUUUUUUACUAUUUUCUCUAAAAUGUAUUUUUAUUUCUUUUGAUCUGCCAAAAAGUAAAACAAUCACAAACACAUAUAUAAUAUUCCAUUUUCAAAAUUAACACAGCCUUUCAGGUGCACUCAGCUAGUAUUUAUCACAGGCACAGAGCAGCUAUGCAGAGAGUACAGCGGGAAUCCUGUUAUGGGCUGAAUUUUGUCCCCUCCCCUUCUCUCACAUUCAUAGGUUUAAGUCCUGACCCUCAGUACCUCAGAGUGUGAUAGUAUUUAGAGAAAGGAUCUUUAAAAAGAGGUAAUUACACAAUUACAUAUAAUCAUAACAAUUGAGCCUUAAUCCGAUAUGACUAGUUACCUUAUGAGGACAAGAAGAGGCCCCAGGAGGCACCUGCAUGAAGAAAGAACACAAUGGGGACAUAGCAUUCUCCACGUGCAAUCCACGGAGAGCAGCCCCGGGAGCACCUGCCCCUGUGGAUACCUGGAUCUUGGACUCCCACCCCCGGAACUGUGAGAAAAUAAAUUUCUGCCAUUGAAGCCACACAGUCUGCAGUGCUUUGUUUCAGCAGCCCAAGCCAAUUACUAAAAAUGCCCUGUAUGCAAAUAGGGCACUCGAAUUAAAACCACAGCAGAGCCACUUCACUCAGUGUUUGAUUGUGAGGAUAUCACUUUGUCUCUCUGACCCUCAGUUUUCCUCUACUGGUGAUGUGGUAAUGGAGGCAUUCUCUAAAUCUUCUUCAGAUGACUCAUGCAAAAAUGUGGGUGAAGGGACCCUGCACACAGGGGCUGGCUUAUCGGGACUCAAUAUGUCUUUGGUGAUUUAUUUUCUGAGAAUGCAAUAUGGGGGAGGAUUCAAAUUUCUUACACUUUAGCUGCCAUGUAAGUCAUAAACAUUUAUGAGGGUCAAAUAAAAAUAGAUGGUUGAUCUAAGUGUGCAAGAUAAAGAGUUCUGAAGGAUUGCAGAAAAAGAUGUUGGUGGAUGGUUUUAACUGGAGUAUACCAGGGAAGGACCUUCUGAAGGUGGUCCUCUUUCUAGCUCCGUAGCAUAGGCAGGAUUUGAAGAGUAGAAAAGGAGGAAACAGUGCAAGAGAUACACACCUGGAAACAUGGAAGUUGCUGGCAGUAGGGAGUUCUGCAGUUGUGAGGAUGGCCCGCGGUGGGUGGUGAACCAUGAGAGAUGACAGUGGACUCCUGAGGGCGGUGGGGACUGCCAGUGCUUUUCUCUUCAGAUGUUGGGAAAGGGUGACUGAGGGAAUUUCUACAUUAGGCGGGACACUGAACUGCAUUAUCUAUGAUCUCUUUCAACUACAAGAUUUCCUAAUAGGGUUUAAAUGUGAGUGAGGACUAGUUAGGUAUUUAGAUUUUUAUCAGUUGGGUAAUUGGAAACAAGUGAAGAGCUUUUUAAAAUGAUAUGAUAUAUGACUAUAAAACAUGCCUACAUAUUUAAUCUGACCAUAUGCUGGAAGCAUAUGCCAAGGAUACCAGUUAGGUGCACAGUGGAAAAAAGAACGGAGUGCUUAGCUUCGGCUCUACCAUUUCCUAGCUGUGUGAGAGAUCUUAGGAAUAUGAUUUCAUUUACUUAUUUUUGUGCAUGAAUUCAUUUAUUGGGAAGAAUUCAGCCUGUGCUUAUUAUCUUCCACACACACUCUGAGCAAUGGGGGAGUGACAGAAAAUGGUUACUGAUCUCACGGAUCUAACAGUUUAAUACUAACGAUGGAGGAAGCAGGAGUUAGAGGACACAAAACUAGUCUUCAGGGUUCAGGGAGGGCUUCCUGGGGAGAUGGUGUCAAGUCUGUCCUGGUAAAUGAUGUCCGAUGUGCACGUAAGCAUGAGUUUCCAUCUUUUUAUCCAUCGAGGAAAAGAGGAAGGGUGGUGUUUUAUCUGCCUACUUCCUCAACUUUAAGUGCAAACAAGAUAAAUGAAUGGAAGCUCUAAAAGCUGAAUACAUAUGGGGUAGCCUGCCACAAAAAAAGAAUUAUCAGAGGGUAGUGACUGACUGCAUGUGGAGGAAAGGUAAAGAGAUGCAUGAGAUCUGACUUUGGUUUUAACCUGGAGGAAUAAAAGAUUUGAGAGACCUUCAAAUUCCUUGAAAUUAAGUCUAAUGAUUUGGGAGGUGAUACUUGUUGCCUAAGAAGGAGGUGAUGAGGACACUGAGUGUGUUGACUUCAAGGUGACUUAUAAUGGAGGCGAUUGAAAAUACAGGCAGGGUUAUCUAGAGAAAGAGGAGUAAUCUACACAGAAGUAAAGCCUUGGGCAAGUUCAGUGUUUAGACAAAGAGCAUUCGUUAUGUCAUUUUGAAAAAGAAUGUUAGAAUGUUGGGGAUUUGUAUCUCUGAGGCCUGGUGGGCUCACUGCUAGCUGUUGUGGUCCAUGAUGGGGACACAUCUGAGAUGUAGAAUGAAGACCAGCAUGGCAUCCAGAGCACACCAGCUUCUCAAGAGAUGCUCACUGAACCCUUGCUGUGUCCACCAAGAAGUGAUUGGGUGAUGGGAGAAGACGCUGUAGCAGCCGGGACAUGUGGACCCCACCCCUCAUCCUAGAAAUUGUUCUGGGUGCUUUCAUCUGAAGCACAACCUUUCUAAAUGUUGUCUACACAAAUUCCUUCACAUUAACUCACUUUGAAACAAGAAGCAGCAGUGGAAAUAUAGGCUGCCCUAUCAUUAAAUGAUCACUUCUGAAAGUAUCUUUUUGGUAAGAAGUUUUCCUCCAGACAAACUAGAUAGCACUUCUUAAAGCUUCUCAGCUCAGGCAGGGGACUCCUUCCCCACAAUUCUCGCUACCGUAGUGGGCCCUUCUCCGUGGCUUCUGUGACUUGGGUUACCUGUGGUCCAUUGUGGCCUGAAAGAUUAAAUAAAAAUUCCAGAAAUAAACAAUUUAUAAGUUUAAAAUUGUGUGUGAUUCUGAGUAGCAUGAUGAGACCUCACGCCGUUCUGUGCCAUCUUACCCCAGACAUGAAUCAUCCUUUUGUCCAGCAUCCCCACCCUGUCUAUGCUGCCUGCCUGGCAGUCACUUGGCAGUCGCCUCGGUUAUCAGAUCAACUGUAGGGAUUAUUGCAGUUCAUGUGUUCGAGCUGCCCUUAUUAUCUUAAUAACGACUUCAAAUUGCAAAAGUAGUGAUACUCAUGUGUCGUCAUAAUUGUUCUAUUUUACUAUUAGUUGUUGUUAAACUCUUACUGUACCUAUUUCAUAAAUUAAACCUUAUCACAGGGAUGUAUAUAUAGGAGAAAGCGCAGUAUAUACAGCUUUUAGGACCAUUCUCAGUUUUAAGCAUCCACUGGGAGUCUUGGAGCUAUUCUCUGCUGAUAACAAGGGAGGUGUUUUAUUCAAACACGGAAAGUGCUUUCAUGCAAAUCUUGUCCAACCCCCCCAUUUCACAGAUGAGGCAAGGGACAGUCACCUUUUUGUCUGAGGUGGUAACUGAAUCCAGAUCUGAUACCUGACUGCCCACCCAUUUGUUGUAGCUCUGAAAAUAUCCCAAAUGGCUGUGAAUGACCUUGGCCAGAAAAUCCAGGUAUCAAUGCGGAAGGAAGCCCUUCUGGGGUCCCUAAUGGGUGCGUUUAGGACCUCAGGGAGUAAUAUUGCGGGGGCUGUUGAGCCAGCACUCAGUUUCCUAACAGCUUAUCUCUUGCAGCUCUUACAGGCAACAGCUGCACGCAGUGUGUUCUGACUUCGGCCAUGUCUUGUAAAGCAGCUUGGGUGCUGGUGCUGACACAAGCAUUCCUCGUUUUGCCGUUGUUGGAGUUGAAUAUGUUUGAUUCCUUUCUAGUCGCUUUUUUCUUCCCUUCCCUUCUCCUCUUUUCCCUUUCUUGUGUUUUAUUUCCCUGCCUUUGUUCUCAUUCCCUGGUCCCCAUGUGGAUGUCUGGUACUAGAGUUACAUAAAUAAUCAACUGCCUCUUAGGAGUGGGGGAUGAAAAACAACAGGGAUUCAUUUUCCUGAGAGCUCUGGGUAUCUGAAUAACUGGCCCGCAUUGGUCUCUUACUGAGGGUUACUUGCCUCUAGGAAUUGCCUUUGGGGGUCUCUUCAGAGGAAAACACAAAAGCACAAAACGCAACUGACCAAUUGUGCAAAACUGUUUGUAGGAAAAGAUAGUGUGGUUGGGUGGGGAAAGGAAUUCUCUGUGACCCCUGAGGUGGCCAGCUAAAGCCGCGGAGCCCCUGAAGCAUGAAAUUUGAUUACCCUUAUCUUGGUGCACAGCUCCGAUACUGCUGUCGGUCAUUCAAUUACCCAGCAACCUCUACAAAUGUCUGCAGCCGAAGUAAAUACGGCAUUAGGAGAAACACGCCAUCUUCCUUGUGUGGUACCUCUGAAAUGGCAACAGACCUUACGCACCAUGGAAAUAGGCUUGACCAGAGACGAGCCUGGGCUUUGAUCAUUACUCCCAAGGGUUUUUAUCCAUGACUGAGUGCUUCUUUGGCUCUUCUAAGAUAACGUCGUCUCCCUUUUCAAAUCAGAUAUUUAAAAUGGCUUGGAGAGAUCUGCAGGUGAUUAAGGAGUUUAGAGAAUGAAACCACUGAAGAAAGGCUAGAGAACUAGCAUGUUUAACUUGGGGAAGAAGUCUGAGGAGUGAUUUAAUAACUGUCUGCAAAUGCAUAUAAUGAUGGAGGAGCGGGGGGAUGACUAGCUGCUCUGACCAUCCUCUAAAGUCAAAACAAGAGGAGCAGUCACAGUCACACACAGUGCAGGACUGCGCCAUCAGGAGGCCCGUGCCCAGUCCAGGCCCUUCCAGGAAAAGUCCUCUGUGUGACCCUGGGCACCCCCUUCCCUUGCUUCACACUGGAUGACCUGCUUCCCAUUCCAUGUUUCUAAUUAAUCAUUAGAAUAGUGGUUAGGUUUAAAAAAGCCAAGUUUGCACUGACUGCUGUGGUCGUUCCUAGAGACAGAAGAAGCCUCUAAGUAAUACUCAAAAAAGAUUUUAGGGACAUUUCCAGAGACAAGAGAUUUGGUUAUUCAUAGAGAGAAGUAAAAACUGUUUUUUGGUUUUUUUUUAGAAAAUAAAACAAAAUUUUAAAAAUGGAUCUGGAAGAGUAGGAUUUGGGAAGGAAUUAUAAGUUUCCAUCAAUAUGGACAAAAAGUCAACAAUUCUAAUCCCUCUCUUUCUAACAAUAUUCCCAUUGUCUUCCGGCUCAGGAAAGAAAAUCUAUUUUGUGACUUCUCCAAUCUCCUGGUUAAUGCAGAUAGCUGUUUGGCUCUGCGAUUGUUUACAUUAUCUAACAUAGCUGGAACAGUGAGCAGUUAGAGACUAGCUGCCUGCUGUUGGUCUGGAGCUUGUCAGAGGGGCACAGGUCAACUGGUCUGGGAAGUGGGUGGGGGAUGCUGUAUGGAUAUACUAGUUAUCAUCUGUGGAGAAGGAAAGCCCUUUCCUCUGCUCUCUGAGAUUCUGUGGCUAAAGCCUGUGGAUGAUGCUGACAAAAGACAGAUCAACAGUAGAAAAGCAUACAAAUUUUAUUUGAGGUUAAAUAUUUUUUAUGGGUAGGGGCUUCAUAGGAAGAAGUGAAAACUCUAAUAAAGUGGUUAGGCUUGAGACUUAUAUACCAUAUUAACAAGCAGCAAUAAAAUGCGGAGAUGUGACAAGACAGGAUAAAGCAGUGGCGAAGCAUGAGUGACUCAAAAAUACAUGAGGAAACCAAUGGAAGAUAAGGGUUGUUUUAGUAGGGUUGUUUGUACUAAUUCAUCGUGGCAUUGACUCUCUGUCUCCAGUAAUAAGAGCAUUCUCCUCUUCCUGGUACAGGGAGGGCAACUUUCUUUUAUGCCCUGCUUGUAGGUAGAAAGGGGGAUGGCAGAGAAUCCUUCCUACAUCUGAUGUUUCCCAAUUUCCUUCAGCUCAAAAUGAUCAAUAGACCAAAGUGGUAUAUUUGGGGAUGGCAUGUUCUAAGCCUCUGCACAUCCUUCCUAUGAAGGAUGGUAUAGCAGCUGGGAGGUGCAGAUACAUCUUAUCCCCAGUCUGGAAACUCAGUCCCUCUUUCUGUCCUCAAUUUCUCUAGAUAUAUUUUCACAAAGGUUGCUGUUGAUCUUUUGGAAAGAAGCUUAGCUGCUACAUGGUCCAGGAUAGCAUUUGCAGGUUAAGUAUUGGCCAUUGAUACCUGCAAAACCAGGCUACAAGAAGACCCACCCCCCAAAAAGGUCCAGAUACCAAGUUCCAUGACAGUGGAAGCAGGUGUUACUUAGCUGCAGUCAAACAGCACCCCUGAUGCCAUCCCAACUACAAAGGCAGUAUAUUCUAAUUAACUGCAAAUGCUUUACUCAUAAAGCUGUCAGCACUGGGCUCUAAUGUCGGUACUUUUAAUGAUGCAUUUGAUUAGAAGGUAAUUUUAUUCACUCAGCGGCAGUCAGACCUGUUUGGUGAGGGUCUCUUUUCCCCUCGUCUUUCCCCCACUUUUUCUCUCCUACUUGAAACAUUUAUGAAGUUGUGAUGUUCAAAACAGUCUAACGAGUAAAUAAGUAAAUCCAUCAAAGCAAUGUCAUAAUGUCUGCUCACCAUCAGCCUCUUUGUGUGUGUGCAUGUGCUGUGUCACAUAACAGGAGGAAGUGAAGAGUGAGGUGGUGCUUUUUUAAUUUCACAUGAGAUUCACAUCUGGAAUCUCUGCUUUUACAACCGAACAUUCUCUUCUCCUUACUCCAAGUCCUAAUAACUGUCAUGACUUUAUAGUGCAUCAAAUUUUGCACAUCCAUUCCAUGUUCUUUUAUGUCACUUAUGCCUCACAAUAAAACUAUGACAUAGUUAUACCUCUGAUGAAGGAACAGAAACUGGGAGAUUUUAUUAUAUGUCUGAGAAACUCAGUCAGUAAUUCGGGAAUUCAAAACUAGAUCUCAGUCUAAAUCCUAGGCUUUCUCUACCACACCAUAUGGUUUCUCAUCAAAGAGCUGUUUUUAUCUUUUUUCUUUGAAAACCAAGUAUGGAGCUGCCCACACUGGAAAUUCACUCUUGCUGGAGGACAUCUGGGGAGCCACUGGGGCUGGGUUCACAAAGCCUCUGGUCUGCUUGGGUCAGGCCUUCUGCUAUGGAAGCAUACGGUGAGGUUCAAGGCAACUAAAAGUUCAGACUUGUGAGUAAAUCCAGCAGCCUACAGUGAGUUUGUUUCAUCUCUCUUCCUCUCCCUCGUCCCUCCUGAUGAGGCUGGUGGGUCUCUUCCUUACAGGAUCCUAAGCCUUUUAUGUUGUGUGUCCAUUUUAAUCUACUGACUUCCGAUCUCCCUGCCUGAUCCUCCCUCCCUUCUUCUUACUUUCCACACCCCCUCUCCUUUCACAGUAAGAGCUUAUCUUCAUUGAGGGCUUACUGGUUGCUUGUUCUUUACAUGUGUGGUCUCAUUUAAUUCAUGUGUAAUGUAGGUAUAGUUAUCACCCCGUGACAGAAACCAUGUCUCAGGAGGUUAUGCAUACUGCCAAGGUCACAGAGCUGAUGAGGAGCUGCAAGUCUGACUCAGAGCCUGAGACCUCCAUUACUGCUUGCAUUCAUCAACACAGUGAGGGGACAUAACUACUCUGCUUAAUACUGAGCUAGGUGCGGUGAGAGGUGCCAAAAGAGAGAUGGGAGAUGAGGCCGUUUUCAACUGGGGAUCUCAGGAGACCUCUGCCCUAAAAUUACAAUGGAAUGUUUUUCCAACAAGACAUGACAUUUUCACCCAGGAAUCUUAAAACACCAUGGAGUGCGAACUGUUCUGUGCUGCCAACUCUCACCCCCUUUUUUUGAAUUGAAAGUCAGUAAGGUUAAGCAGUAUUGACAUGUGAAGGGAUUUGAUCUUGGGUUUUGGGGUACAGGGGCCAAUCUUUUCUCCAUGCUGCUACACUGCCUGCUAUUCAUCAAGGGGCAGAAGAGGAGAACCACUUGCUGUACCCAAGCUGGAGCUUAAUUUUUAUCCUCAAAUGUUUCAUCCCUAGCUACUCCUUAGGUGGUUGAUUAUGCUUCUAUGAAAUCUCCAUUUGAAGGAAAAUCAUAUCGUAUGCUAGAACAGACAAAGGAAGAGCUCAUGACCUUGCAUUGCUUCUCAUUCUGCCUCCCUCCUUGAUAUUCUCUUGUGCUGCUAGCAGGGAAUUUGACACAUUAUUAUUAAAUCUGUUUGCAAAUGUGUGGAAAGCGCCCUGAACACCCUCCCUGGUUAUGAGAGGUGGCAGAUCCCGUGUCUGAAUCACGGGCUCCUAGAAGUACUUGCCUUCCCUUUUCUUCUCCCUUUGCUUCGCUCUGAUUGUCCACAUUUCAGAAACAGUAAGGAUACUAGUACCAGAUCGGCUGAGCCCUGGAGCAGAGUCCUGCAACCUGGAAAUGCAGCACUUAGCGAAAGUAGCCAAUUCAGGAAGACCUGCCUGUCCUCAGUGAAAUGGGCUCCAGCUGGCCCUGAGGUGCUGGGGUGGGCGGCCAGGCUGAAGCUUCCUCACUGUCUGCAUGCCGUCUACUUUUAUGAUGCCUUUUACCAUAUGCAAUUAAUUAACUGAGUUAUGACCACCAAACAUUCUAGGAAUGCAAAGUACCAGAUAAGUGCUUGUUAAAAGUAGUAACUUCAUAAACGAAGAAGGUUUGGGUGUCGUGGGGGACUAGAGAGAAAGCUUCUUGCUUCAGUUAGGGUUCAAGUCCUGUGCUUCUGUUUCUUAGGUCACCAUCCCAUCUGGGUCUACAGAAAAGUUGAAGGGGAGAGGCAGAGAAAUGAAUGACAGGAGCUGGCUCUCCAACACCUCGCCCUGACCAUAACAGUGGGACUGUGAAUGCCUUUGCCACAAUCUAGAGCUUAUGAAAGGCUGUCACUUAGCAUUUGUACCUCUCCCCAUGAGCACCCCCAGCCUCACCACACUUCAUGCCACUAUGCACCAAGAUGAGUGUUCUUUCCAUGUAAUUUGGAAAGUGGUGUUGCCAUACAAACGUAAACAUGUAUUCAGUUCUUCGUUCAUUCAGCAAGUAUCUCUAAGUAUCUCUAAGCAGCCAACUGUGUUCUUGGAACUAAGUUCUAAGACCACGGUGAGUGGAAAGGCAUGGUAGGAUGCAUUGGGACGCUUUCUUCUUUUUAAUCCUUUAAAUUGAUCAUUUUCUGCUUCUGAAUAAAAAUCUUAGCAGGGCUUUUUUUCUGAAAUAUCUAAUAGAGUCAAGCUGUUGCCUUGGGCACUUAAGUGAGAAUACAUGAAUUCAGUAGAGCUUAUUAGAUGACAAAUGAUGCAUUCACAACACAUACACACACACACACAGACGCGCACACACAGUAAAACUGACAGGGAAAUACUCAUUAACUGCACACAGAAAAGGCUUUGCACAGGUCUGGGAAGGCUUCCUGGAAGAAGCGAAAACAAAGUGGAAUCUUGUGGGGUGCUGAAAACCUGUCCAGCAGUUCCCCCUUUCCUCAGGGGAUACAUUCCAAGCCCCCAAGCAGAUGCCUGAAGCUGCCAACAAUACCAAAUCCUGCAUAUACUAUACACAUUUUUUUCUUCACAAUUUCACAGAUUUGGUCUUACUGUAGAUCUUGGUAACCUCAGCAUACAAUUUUUUUUGGUCUCCCUAUCAAUUUGAGAACUUUCGCCUUUUCCCUUAAAAGAAGCACUUUACAGUUUCUCUUUGACAUAUUCAAAUUGCCAACUUUGGAGCCAUUGUGAAGUCAAACAAGAGUUACUUGAAUAGAAGCACUGCAAUAUCACGACAAUAGAUCUGGUUGGGAUUUUCCAGGUAAUAUUUUCAGACCAUGCCAAACCACGGAUAAAGGGUAUACUGCUAUAUUUAACAAAUAACCAGGCUUUGGUUCAGAGCUGCCCUCCAAUCAUGAAAUGUAUUUUAACUGAAUGCUGAGCAUCCCGUCCUUGCCCCAGGCAACCUGGUAACAGCAGCUUUUAACAAAAGACAAGCAAUUAAACAGGCCCAGCUUGCUCCCCCGGGGGGCCUUUGCUGUCCCUUUCAUGCCCCGGCGUGCUUCUGUGCUGGGCCUGCUCCAAGAAGGAGAUGAAGCCUCUUCCUAGUUCUGGUUUUUUUUCUGAUAAGAAGGCCCCAGCGCAAGGUGCAAAAACUUACAGAGAAUUACGCAGUGCCACUGGGACACUUUGCUUUUAAAUUGAGACCUCAGCACAUAAAAAGUCUGCCACAAAUGCUGAGGUUUGGCUUCAGAAAUUAAGGGCUGUCACUUUAAACUGAUUUCCUUUCCCUGGGCCUGCUCCUCCUGGCCCAGCCUGGGCAGAGGGAAGGGAUAUUUUAAAGUGACAGGUUUAAACAGCCUCCGUGUGUGCGGUGCAAUCAUUUUUCAUGCGAAGCCUCCUGGGCUCAUGCUGAGGUGCUCUGCAGGAUCCAAUCUCCUUCUAUAAAUUCGUGGGAGGCCCCAUGCUGCCUGGCAGCAAGAGCCGUAGGAGAGGCUGCUCAAGCGGGGCAGGUGGCAAGAAGCAGGGCUCCAGGAGGGGAGGCCCGGCCAGCAGGGCGCAGCAUCCUGGGAGGGCCACACACUUCCGCGCUGCUGAGCACCAGUGGGCACCUCGGUUUCGGGCUGGCCCGUGGAAGAUACUGAAUAGUCUGUGAAUUAGUUUGAAAAUUGUCUCUGAGAUUCUGUUUCCAUGAGGUAUAAUGGAAAGAACUGGAAUUAGAAGCAGAAAACUCGGAAUUUAGUCCUGUUUCGUUCGGUGUUUAUGUAUGCUCUGUGACUUUCACUACAUUUAACCUUUGUGAACCUCAGCCUCAAGAUUUCCACCAGUUUCUGUCUGUAAAACCGGGAUGUGGGGAACAGCUGAGUGGGUGAUGGGAACAUGUCUUGUAAAAUGCAGUGCUGUACCAAUGAAUGGCAUAUACAGCUUCACGCAGCAGCGGCGGCAGAACUGGAAAUCAGUGCUUGCCCAGCCUAGCAGUCUCUGGCUGCAAUUAUUCAGAGGCAGCACAAUAAUUAAUGAAUGGGACACCUCCCAUCCCAAGGACAAAGGUCUCCCAAUGAACAUGAAAACCUCACCUAAGACGCUGGAUAAACCCGGCCCCGGCUCUCAGGGCAGAGUCCCCACGGUCCCGGCCUUGUUUGGAACACUCCACUGCUGCUCAGGAAAUGGACACUGGUCCUGUCGUGCUCUGGGCUGAAGCCUGACCCAAUUUCCUUUUGCAUGUGGCCACAGGGUCCAGUGCUUGCACCACAGGACAUCUUAGAGAGCGGUACGUCCAGUGUUUCUUUGCUGGGACCUCUAGGAAACUGUACUCAUAGUGCCUGAUAAUAAAAAGGCACUCUCUUUGGAGACAGGUGGCCUCCUGGCUACUGUCUGGCUUUGCUCUGCAGAUGCCCAUCAUGCUGGAGUGCCACUGCAUUUCCAGACAAAGCAACAGGGAACCCAGCCUGAGUGGGAGAAAGGAACUGCCUUUUUUUUUUUCUUUCCUUGCUUAAAAAUCCUGUGAUUUUCUGAGCAAUUCUUAGGUUGCUGGCUGUACUUCACAGCCACCGAUAUAUUUAAAGUUUCGGUAUUAAAGAGCUCAGCAGCCUAUCCCAGGAGGAAAUCACCUCCCCAAUUCAAGUCAGCCAGGUGCCCUCUUGAGACAUGUGGAAUUCGUGUCCUCAGCAAAAAGCUCUCUCUUUUCAAACUGGGAGAUGGCAGUACAUAGGCCUAUUACUGGAGUAGACACGUUUAUGAAUUUCAACAUCCUAUUAGCGGUGAUGAUCUGACAAAAUCACAAGAAUGAAGAUAUUUGGGUGUACAGCUGACAGCUGAUUUAUGUGCUUAGAUGGCACCAGGAUGUAGUGUGCCUCCAAAGAAGCCCUUGAGGAACCGGUGCAGGGUGCGGUUGGGGUGAAACAGGGAUCCCGUGUGUAGGGCACAGGCGCCAUCCUUGGAGUUCAUGGGGUCCCUCCAGGGUCAUUGGUAUCUACUCAACUGAGGCAGCAGCAAAGAGGGUGUGCAGAGGCAAAGGCUGGUGAGGACAACAUCCUUCACUCACACACUGGUCUCCUUGAAACAGGUUUGAGCUGACAUCAGCGCAUUAGCCAAGGCAAAUUUCUUUUCCUCAGAUGCAAUAAUGUAACUAGAAUUGACAAAAUGAAAUAUAAUUUGGAAUCACUAUCAAUCCCAGUGAGAUUGGCUCAUGACAAGAAUCUAUGGAGCUGCGAGUGUCUAAGAGUGGGUGUCAAGGGACUUCCUCUCUCAGGAUGCAGGGUGGACUUGGGCCUUGCCGUUGUUAAUUGGACUGGUUUGGGAUCCUCUGGGCUGCAUUGACUAUGUACCCAGCUCCUCCUCCUCUCCCCCAGGGUAGAGUGACUGCGCUCUUUUAUUGGCUUUUGUGCCCUCUAAAGCUCCAUCUGUAAGAGAAAAACUGAAUUGAUCCCAUUAGCUUGAUUUUAGUAGUGCUGGAGAAGGUAAUGGAUUUCAGCUUUGCUUGCCAUUUAAUUUAGAUGUUAAAAUAUCACGUGUGAUUGACCUAGAUACAUCACUGCCACUGCCACUGUGAGCUGGCCAUGAACAGGAAUAGAUACUUGUAGGUCAUCAUUUGUGAAGUAUCUAGUUAAUUAGGGAAAGUGGACCACCGAGUUGUGAUAGAAUCCCUUUGGGGAUACAAAAAAGAGGAGUUUGUCAUCGAAAGUUCUUUGGAUCUCAGUCAUCACCAUUUGAUGAUGGGAGCUCUAUCCUGGCUGGAGUGGAGCACCCCUAAACCCCCCAAAACAUAAACACGAAUUGUAGCAUUCUUUAGAACCACAGACUAUAGCUCCAUGAGGGCAAGAGCCAUAAAUGAGGUUAACGCUGUGUCCUCCAAGCCUACUCCAGUGCCUGCCAAGGGGCAGGACGGGGAAUGGAGUUCAGGUGGUAUGGAGACAUAGGGAAUAUUUGUUAAUGAAGUCAUAGCACUGGAAGAAAAUUUGGGGUACAUCCAGUUAAUCUGUAUCCCUGCUUAAUUAUCUCACUCAUAGAGGGCUCUGCAGUGACCAUGGAAAAAUUUCUUUUUCUUUUUUUGUUUUUUUGAAAUGGAAUCUCGCUGGAGUGCAGUGGUGCAAUCUCAGCUCACUGCAAUCUCCACCUCCCAGGUUGAAGCGAUUCUCCUACCUCAGCCUCCUGAGAAGCUGGGACUACAGGUGCGAGCCACCAUGCCCAGCUAAAUUUUGUAUUUUUAGUAGUUUCACCGUGUUGGUCAGGAUGGUCUCAAUCUCUUGACCUUGUGAUCCGCCCACCUCAGCCUCCCAAAGUGCUAGGAUUACAGGUGUGAGCCACCAUGCCCAACCCAACCACAGAAAAUUUCAAAUCCCAGCUCUGUCACUUAAUUGCUGUGCCAACUGGUGCAGGUAACUUAACCUCUCUGCAUAGUUCCCUCAUCUGUAAAAUGUCAUUCCUAAUGAUACAUGCUUCGUAGGGCUGUUUGAGGAUUGAAUGAUGUAAUGUAAUGGAAAACUGUCUGAAGAAUAUUUGGUAUCUAUCAAAACACUUAAAUGUUAAUCACUAUAGUUAUUAAGUGGUGUUUCCAUCUUGCUUUUCAUCAAUCCAUCCUUUUACCUAAGUAAGACUAAUAAACUUCAUUUCAUAAGUUUUAAAUCUAGUUUGCCAUAACUUAAGGCCCUUUUUCCUAUAUUGGCCUCACAGAGGGGACACAAAUCCUUUAUCAAAACUACCUGAGUGAGUGUGGAUAAGUCCCUGGAUCUCUGUAGACCUCAGUUUUUCUUUUGUUUUGUUUUGUGUCAUGCAGACACCAGACUAGAUGAUCUCUAGAGGCCUCUUUCAGCUGUAUUGUGGCGGUUGCGGCCAGUCAUAGCAGCUACGCUUACUGAACACCUAUUAUGAGCUAGGCUCUGUCUCAAGUGCUUUCUUGUGUUAAUUAAUACAGCAGUCACAUUGGGAAAUUUGAUAUCAGUACCUUCAUUCUGAAGACGAGGGAAGUGAGCUGCUGGAAGGUCAGGCAGGUCACGGACCGAGGGUUGCCCAGCUGGUAAGCGGAGAAGCCAAUAUUUGGAUGUAAAAAGAUUCACUACUCAGUCCAUGAGCCUAUAUAGCAAAAUUAAUUCUGUGGUCUUCUGUUACUAUGAUUUUGUGAAUAUUUCUGAACUCAAGGUGAACCGAGAAAUCAGAAUCUCUCUACUCUAUUGGCUUUAUCCAGUGACCUGACCUUGGCACCAAAGAAUAUUUUUCAUCCGUAAAUAGCAAAGUGCCUGAUUGCCAAAUAAAUAAGAGAACAUGAACUACUGUGAAAAUGCUUCAAGAAGCGGAGUUAUUACUACUGUGUCAUAAUUACAGCAAGAAUAAUAUGCAUUUAUGGAACACUUCAUGUUCCCCAAGUACUUCAUGGCUGUCCUAAUUAGGCAGCCUAUUGACACAUUCUGAAGAGAUGACGGCAAGUGUUGAUUUCCACUCUGCAGUGCCAUGAAGCUUGCAAGUACCUCUCAGCUUGGGAAGGAGGGUCAGUAAAAGCCAACAAGGCCAAGCCUAGGAGGAUGAUGGAAAGUGGAUUACCAUCUAAUGGGUGAGAAAGGCCGACUAGCUCCAAAUGUCUUGGGACUGUAAAAAUCAAAAGUUAAUUAUGGGGAGGACCCCCAUUUGUAUUUUUAUUGCUCUAUUUACAUUUUAUGAAGCCAUCUGUUAUCAUUAAUAUGUUCAAAGUCAGUUUUGUUUUAUUUGUAAUUGUACAGCAAAAGAAAAAGCAAUUCUUCCUCAAGUGGGAGAAACCACAGGCCUGGGGGAGGAAGACAUCUGGCCGGGUGAGCCCUUGGCCAGAAUGAUGACCAUCUCCUUGGGCUGGGUUCAGGCAGGAUCUGGGCAGGCUUCAGGGACUCUGGCAGCUUUUUGCAGGCUCAGUCACUUGGAGGGAAGCUUGGCCCUCUAAGCUGAGGGAUAAUCUGCAUCUCUGGGAUGUGGAUAACUUGUUAAGAGUGGUGCAGUGACAGGCUGAAGAACAGCAGAACAAGCCCACCAGCUGCCCUUUUCAGGCAUGGAGCUGCAGUGAACCCAUCCAAGAUAUCACCGUCUCCGACCAGGCCCAUCUGCAGGGGCAUCCCUGGGGCCACACACAUGGAUGGAGCCUACAAGCCAUCUUGUUCUUUUUCUCUUGUUUCGCUUCCCUAGGACACAGCUGAGUGACCCCUUUGGAGGUGGCUUAGGGAGAGCAGAAACCACCACCGGCCACUUUUGGCUCAGGGACCAAUGGCAAAGUGCUCCUUCCUGAUCUCAACCCAAAAUGAGCAGCUGCUGGAGGAUUACAAAGCAUUGGACCUUCUCCUGUUCAUUUUAAAUGUUAUCUCAGCUGGGCAGUUCUUGCAAAUGAGCUCAUCGCCCUCCCCUUCCUCUCUAGUUCCCCACCAUCACCACCACAUACCCUACCCAAAUACGCUCCAGCCAAAACCAGGGCCUACAAGGAGUGCACAUUAACUAAAUUGCAGCUUACUGGCCACGUUGGUGGUGUUCCCAGAUUGGGUUCCUCUGGCUUAACACUCGGAUGCUAAUGACAGGAGCUGGAUGUGGCCAAGGGACAGCCUUCACAAAGAAAAUGGCAAGGGCGGGCUUCACAGAGCUUCGAUUUUAGGCUAGUUCAUGGGUCUGCAAGUAAGGUAAGGCAGAGAUGCAUUUAAAACAAAACAAAACACGAAAUGAAACAAUGGAAACAUCUUUCUGCCACAGAAAACUUGUACUUCAUAAGUGUCUCCAAUCGUACCCUGCAGGUUUCAGAAACACAAAACAAAAUCUUUUAUUGAUUCUGCCGCAACUGGAAUGUGGUUUCCUUUCUCUAAGUGCUCCCCUGAUGCAGCUUCUUGCCUCUGACCCCUGUCCCCAUAUUUUUCCUGACCAUGCCUCCUUCUACCCUCCAGUUUUUUCUCUGCUACCAGAUAUGAAUGGCAGGGGAAAGGAUUAGAGGCUUUAGGCAGGAAAAAUAAACAAGAAAAAUAAAACAAAACAAGGUGCCUGCUUCGUCGUUUCUCCCGAAGCUACAGUUGAUUGGGACCCAGAGAGAAUAUUCCGUCCUUCUUUUCCUAGGCCCUGUCCUGUUCCUCUCCUUUGCCCUUUAUCAGGGCCCCAGAACUGGUUGUAGUGGACUUUUCUGUGCAAAGCAGGCUCCUGUCAGAAGCCAUUUCCGAGUCUGAAAUCAUUGCACUGGGAGGUGAAGAUAGACAAUGGUUAAGCCACUGAAUUCACUGAAAGGAUAUUGGAUAAUUGAGACACUUCCUUCUGGGGUUAAGGGCUGUGGUUUGGUGCUGGGUCCCCACCCAGGGAGGCACCCUGACUCUUGCCUGAAUAGUUGGGGCCAGCUACCCAUGCCUUGGCAGAUGCAGCUCCUUGCUCCCACGGGUGUAUUUCUAGGGAGGUGGGAGAUGUGGUAUUCCGCAAGCGAAAGAAAUCUGAAUGUCCCAAGUACAUAAGGCUGGGACCUGGGGAGGACUAACCGGUGCUUCUUCUCAUUCCAAGUGCUUCCCAACCUGCUCUUUCGUCGCCUCCUGUCACUGCAGAGCCCGUGUUUGAUUAAUGACGGGGCUCUUCAUUCCCAGCACCACCCCCCCUUGCUCCCCCCCACCCCCACGCACGUCCAUUUUAAUUCUCUCCUCCCUCUUUUGGCAUCUGGUUUAUUUUGUAUAUAAACUGCUGAUGCAAAUGUCCAAAGUAAAUUAUGCUGAAUAAUAGAUGAAGACAGCUACAUAAUUUAUAAUGCUAGAGGCCAGACAGAGCUGGACGGGCAGAGUUCAAGCCCACGCCACUUCCCACAACCUGCUGGGCUGGUGUUUACAUCCUAAGUGCUGGAAAUAAACACAGCCUGAUGCCUGUGGCUCCGACUGUCUUCCUCAAGGUGUGUGUCUGUCCCUAGAGUGGACGUGGACUCCCUGGCCCAGGCUGCAGCCCAUCAGUGAAGAACAGUCAUGGGAACAGCAUAUGUCACCCUCUUCCUCAGCUCCUCUUGUUGGCUUUGCCUUUAAAACAGACCCCAUAUAACUUCUGCCAUUACUAGCUUGGAGAAGCAGCCCUCACCUCCUGCCUGGUGAGUGCACACCCACUCUGCGUCUCCGAAGCCUCUCCCUGUUUUCUCCUUUACAGGCCUGUGUGGCUUCAGCCUUAGGGUGACCUGGUCAUCUGCAGGCCCCUGAAUUUCCAUCAUCUUCUCUGUCUGGUCUCUUCAGCCCGCCCAUUCAGAGCCCGGCAGCCAUCCUUGAGAGUCUAGUCCUGCUGGGCACACGGUGACUGUAGGGCAGAGAUUUGGGGGUUCUGAAGCCCGUCCUAUACUGCCUUGAGCUUGGGAAGGUAUAUGCUGGAAGGAACUAGAGCUGGCAUUGACAAAUGGGAAGAGAAAGCUUCCUUCAGCUUUGCCACCACAGAAAGCCAGUUCUGCUCACAUAAGACAUCUUCAGAAGAGGAGAACAUUAGUUAUUUUUCCUGAUACUUGGUGUCUGCUCUGAUAAUCAAGAACUGUUGAAAUGGCUGAGAUCACAGCAUCAGUCUGAUUGGCUAACAGGAAAUCUGAGUUGUGUAAUUAUGAGACCAAAUUCACACAGGUCAAAACUCAUUAGCCAAAGUGUAAAAAAUUGCCUUCUGUACAAAUACAGCAUUCUCUGUGCAGUCACACUCACUCAGCAUAAUUCCCUUCACGCCUCAGGAUAAUCUGGAGGUGGAGGCAGCAUCCUCCUCCCAUGCGCUCCUCACUUCCAGUUCAGAGAUGCUGCCUUACACCUUCACACAGGGGUGGGUCUUGGAUCUGAAAGCUGUGAUUCACAGGUGCGGACACCACAGAAGAGCUUCAGCAUUUCCGAAUGCGCCCCUUAUCAUGGACAAGGCACUGUGUCAACACCUGAAUAAGUGUUAUCAAAUUGACACCUUACACAACUCAGAGAGCUGGUGUUAACUCCAUGUUAUGAAAGAGGAAACUGAGUCUCAGACCAAGCAACUUUGCCCAGGUCAUGCAGCUGUUACAUGAAGGUGAGAAAGGGCCUAGGAUGCUGCAGAAAAGAUCAGGGAGCAUGAGGCUGAGGGGACAUAGUUUUUUCUAUGGGUACCGACCUGCUUCGACCGAGUCCUUCUGCAGACAGAAUGUGCUAUCCUCAAGUGAGCUAAUCGCCUUGUCACUGUGCCAUCAUGCAUGGUUGCCGACUCUGUCCCAAGCUGCUAAGGGGGCGGGUGACGGGGUAUAGCCAACCAAAGAUUCAAAAGUGCUAACAGACUUUAGCUGUGUCAUAUAAAGAGACAGCAGCUGCACUCAAGAAGGCCUUCUGAGUAUUAUAAAAUAGUUUGGGGAUCUAAAAAAGGAAAGCGGGUUCAGGCCACAAAGAUGGUUGCAGAAUUAUUUUAGAUUUUCAUUUCCGACAAAAAAGAUGGAAGGGCCAUAUAACCAUGAGAUUAGUUCUGUCCAAUUUCAAGUCAGUGACGCACCACUGAGGGCUGGGGAUCUUCCACAGCUAAGCAGAGCAACCGGAAGCAAACAGUUCUGUAAACAGACUGGAACAAAGCAGGGGGUUACAGAUUUGGGGGCUGUUAUGCAUUUAGAGGCUCCUGAAACUCCACUGGAAUCCAGAAAUUAAAAAUGGAAGAGGGGGCAGAAAAAUGGAGAAAGUGAGGGAGACUUUGCUCUCUGAGACUUUUGGGAGAGCAUGUAGUGGUGGUAGAGGCGGUAUACACAUGUGUGAUUUUAAGACCUGAAAUAACAACAUCCUCCAGAAACCCCAAGCAUGUGCUCCCAUAAGCAAGCUGAAAGUGCCUGUGUUCCUUGAAGAAGAGUGUGCUGGCUUCAGAUCUGGAAGGCAAAGGGACAUUCAAGGGAGUCCUCUCCUGCUCUGACCCUUGGCUCCCUAGGACUCCAGGGCAUGUUCACUGCUUCUCCCAGAGGCUGCUGUCCGACAGCAGCAAAACCCUGGGAAAGCAAGGGUGAUCUUCACGUGGAAUAGCAGAACCUUGGCAUUUCUGUGGCCUUAUCACCGUUUUUUUUUUUUAUCCUAAUGCACUUUUUGGGUUCACGCUUCCAGCACAGCUCUUGCCGACUAGUACUUCUGCAAAAAUCAAACAUCCCUUGUGCUACUCCUCACAGAGACUAAACAAAGAAGCCACUCCCUCUCCUGUCUGGAAGCACUCUACUAGGACGUGGUGUCUGGUGCACACCUGCCUAGGCUCCCAGUGUAAAAUCCAGGGGAAGACACUCAAGUACCAGCCUGCACUGCCAGUGUCCACCUUCCCUGAAUGGGAAGGGUGUUGAAGCUUCCUCAACACUCUCAGGAUUAAAGGAAUGAAUGGUAUUAUAAUAUUUGAUGAGGGAAUAAGGUCACAGCCUGACAAGGACACGGGUUAACAUUAAAUAGAAGACAUGUUACUACAACUAUCACUGCAGCCAGGAUCUGACUGGCAUGAGCAGUGAGCAGUUUCUCAAUCUUAGCACUACUAGCAUUUUAAUCUGUAUACUUUAUGAUCACAGUUUGAGGAGGGGAGUACUGUGCAUUAUAGGAUAUUAGCAGCAUCCCUGACCUACCAAAUAGGUGUCUGUACCACCCGCUCCCCAAACUGUGCUCAUAAAAUGGUCUCCAGACACUGCCAAAUGUCUUAGAGGGGGCAGAGUUGUCCCUGAUUAAGAACUCCUGAGUUAAAUGACUCUGGAUUCCUCUGUCAAGGGUCCUCAAAGCGUGCUGAAGCAGCACCUGGAGGCUUGUUAGAAAUACAGGUCUUCACAUCCCACCCCAGACCUGAUUCAGAAUUCCUGAUGGUAGGACCAGAGGAUUGAUUAUGUUUUAACAAGCCCUCCAGAUGAUUCCUAUCCAUGCUAAAAUUUGAGAAGUGUUGCUAAAUAGUACCCACUUGCCACAUGUGGCUAUUUAAUUUUAUUUUGUUAACCAAAUUGGGCAAAACUAAAAAUUUUAGCUUCUCAGUUUCUGCAGUCACAUUUCAAGUGAUCAGUAGCUAAUGUAAGCGGUGGUUACCAUUUGGAAAGGACAAUUGCAGAACGUUCCAUCAUUGCAGAAUGUUCUAUUGGACCGCAUCGCAAUGAAGUUGCUACCAAAAUGCGAAUGCCUUCAAGAAACCUAAUGCUAUUCCUGGCCAUUAGCUAAGUCCUACAGAAUACUCACUGGCUACCUUAUGGCAUUGCAUAACUAGUUUUUUUUUUGUUUUGUUUUGUUUUUAAAUUUUUUAUUGGAUUUUAGGUUUUGGGGUACAUGAGCAGAGCAUGCAAGACAGUUGCGUAGGUACACACAUGGCAGUGUGCUUUGCUUUUCUUCUCCCCUUCACCCACAUUUGGCAUUUCUCCCCAGGCUAUCCCUCCCCACCUCCCCCUCCCACUGGCCCUCCCCUUUACCCCCAAUAGACCUCAGUGUUUAGUACUCCCCUUUCUGUGUCCAUGUGUUCUCAUGUUUCAUCACCUAUGAGUGAGGAUAUGCGGUGUUUCAUUUUCUGUUCUUGUGUCAGUUUGCUGAGGAUGAUGUUUUCCAGAUUCAUCCAAGUCCCUACAAACAACACAAACUCAUCAUUUCUGAUUGCUGCAUAAUAUUCCAUGGUGUAUAUGUGCCACAUUUUUCCAAUCCAGUCUAUUAUCAAUGGGCAUUUGGGUUGAUUCCAGGUCUUUGCUAUUGUAAACAGUGCUGCAAUGAACAUUCGUGUACAUGUGUCCUUAUAGUAGAACGAUUUAUAGUCUUUUGGAUAUAUACCCAGUAAUGGGAUUGCUGGGUCAAAUGGGAUUUCUAUUUCUAAGGCCUUGGGGAAUCGCCACACUGUCUUCCACAAUGGUUGAACUAAUUUACACUCCCACCAACAGUGUAAAAGUGUUCCUUUUUCUCCACAUCCUCUCCAGCAUCUGUUGUCUCCAGAUUUUUUAAUGAUCGCCAUUCUAACUGGCGUGAGAUGGUAUCUCAAUGUGGUUUUGAUUUGCAUCUCUCUGAUGACCAGUGACGAUGAGCAUUUUUUCAUAUGAUUGUUGGCCUCGUAUAUGUCUUCUUUCGUAAAGUAUCUGUUCAUAUCCUUUACCCACUUUUGAAUGGGCUUGUUUGUUUUUUUCCUAUAAAUCUGUUUGAGUUCUUUGUAAAUUCUGGAUAUCAGCCCUUUGUCAGAUGGGUAGACUGCGAAAAUUUUUUCCCAUUCUGUUGGUUGCCGAUCCACUCUAGUUACUGUUUCUUUUGCCGUGCAGAAGCUGUGGAGUUUCAUUAGGUCCCAUUUGCCUAUUUUGGCUUUUGUUGCCAAUGCUUUUGGUGUUUUGUUCAUGAAGUCCUUGCCUACUCCUAUGUCCUGGAUGGUUUUGCCUAGAUUUCCUUCUAGGGUUUUUAUGGUGCCAGGUCUUAAGUUUAAGUCUUUAAUCCAUCUGGAGUUAAUUUUAGGGUCAGGAAGGGGUCCAGUUUCUGCUUUCUGCACAUGGCUAGCCAGUUUUCCCAACACCAUUUGUUAAACAUGGAAUCCUUUCCCCAUUGCUUGUUUUUGUCAGGUUUAUCAAAGAUUGUAUAGUUGUAUGUAUGUUGUGUUGCCUCCGGUGCCUCUGUUUUGUUCCAUUGGUCUAUAUCUCUGUUUUGGUACCAGUACCAUGCUGUUUUGAUUACUGUAGCCUUGUAGUAUAGUUUGAAAUCCGGUAGUGUGAUGCCCCCCGCUGUGUUCUUUUUGCUUAGAAUUGACUUGGCUAUGUGGGCUCUCUUUUGGUUCCAUAUGAAGUUCAUGGUGGUUUUUUCCAGUUCUGUGGAGAAAGUCAAUGGUAGCUUGAUGGGGAUAGCGUUGAUUCUGUAAAUUACUUUGGGCAGUAUAGCCAUUUUCACGAUAUUAAUUCUUCCUAACCAUGAACAUAGAAUGUUUCUCCAUCUGUUGGUGUCCUCUCUGAUUUCGUUGAGCAGUGGUUUGUAGUUCUCCUUGAAGAGGUCUCUUACGUUCCUUGUGAGUUGUAUUCCAAGGUAUUUUAUUCUUUUUGUAGCAAUUGCAAAUGGCAGUUCCCUCUUGAUUUGGCUUUCUUUAAGUCUGUUAUUGGUGUAGACGAAUGCUUGUGAUUUUUGUACAUUGAUUUUAUAUCCUGAGACUUUGCUGAAGUUGCUUAUCAGUUUCAGGAGUUUUUGGGCUGAGGCAAUGGGGUCUUCUAGGUAUACUAUCAUGUCGUCUGCAAAUAGAGACAAUUUGGCUUCCACCUUUCCUAUUUGAAUACCCUUUAUUUCUUUUUCUUGCCUGAUUGCUCUGGCUAGAACUUCCAGUACUAUAUUGAAUAGGAGUGGUGAGAGAGGGCAUCCUUGUCUAGUGCCAGAUUUUAAAGGGAAUGCUUCCAGUUUUUGCCCAUUCAGUAUGAUAUUGGCUGUUGGUUUGUCAUAAAUAGCUUUUAUUACUUUGAGAUACGUUCCAUCGAUACCGAGUUUAUUGAGGGUUUUUAGCAUAAAGGGCUGUUGAAUUUUGUCAAAUGCCUUCUCUGCGUCAAUUGAGAUAAUUAUGUGGUUUUUGUUUUUGGUUCUGUUUAUGUGGUGAAUUACGUUGAUAGACUUGCGUAUGUUGAACCAGCCUUGCAUCCCUGGGAUGAAUCCUACUUGAUCAUGAUGAAUAAGUUUUUUGAUUUGCUGUUGCAAUCGGCUUGCCAAUAUUUUAUUGAAGAUUUUUGCAUCUAUGUUCAUCAUGGAUAUUGGCCUGAAGUUUUCUUUUCUCGUUGGGUCUCUGCCGGAUUUUGGUAUCAGGAUGAUGUUGGUCUCAUAAAAUGAUUUGGGAAGGAUUCCCUCUUUUUGGAUUGUUUGAAAUAAUUUUAGAAGGAAUGGUACCAGCUCCUCCUUGUGUGUCUGGUAGAAUUCGGCUGUGAACCUGUCUGGCCCUGGGCUUUUUUUGUGUGGUAGGCUCUUAAUUGCUGCCUCGACUUCUGACCUUGUUAUUGGUCUAUUCAUAGUUUCAGCUUCCUCCUGGUUUAGGCUUGGGAGGACACAGGAGUCCAGGAAUUUAUCCAUUUCUUCCAGGUUUACUAGUUUAUGCGCAUAGAGUUGUUUGUAAUAUUCUCUGAUGAUGGUUUGAAUUUCUGUGGAAUCUGUGGUGAUUUCCCCUUUAUCAUUUUUUAUUUCAUCUAUUUGGUUGUUCUCUCUUUUAUUUUUAAUCAGUCUGGCUAGUGGUCUGUCUAUUUUGUUGAUCUUUUCAAAAAACCAGCUCUUGGAUUUAUUGAUUUUUUGAAGGGUUUUUCGUGUCUCAAUCUCCUUCAGCUCAGCUCUGAUCUUAGUUAUUUCUUGUCUUCUGCUGGGUUUUGAGUUUUUUUGAUCUUGCUCCUCUAGCUCUUUCAAUUUUGACGAUACGGUGUCAAUUUUGGAUCUCUCCAUUCUCCUCAUAUGGGCACUUAUUGCUAUAUACUUUCCUCUAGAGACUGCUUUAAAUGUGUCCCAGAGGUUCUGGCAUGUUGUGUCUUCGUUCUCAUUGGUUUCGAAGAACUUCUUUAUUUCUGCCUUCAUUUCGUUGUUUACCCAGUCAACAUUCAAGAGCCAGUUGUUCAGUUUCCACGAAGCUGUGCGGUUCUGGGUCGGUUUCUGAAUUCUGAGUUCUAACUUGAUUGCAUUAUGGUCUGAGAGGCUGUUUGUUAUGAUUUCAGUUGUUUUGCAUUUGUUGAGCAGUGCUUUACUUCCAAUUAUGUGGUCAAUUUUAGAGUAGGUGUGAUGUGGUGCUGAGAAGAAUGUGUAUUCUGUGGAUUUGGGGUGGAGAGUUCUGUAAAUGUCUAUCAGGUUUGCUUGCUCCAGGUCUGAGUUCAAGCCCUGGAUAUCCUUGUUGAUUUUCUGUCUGGUUGAUCUGUCUAAUAUUGACAGUGGAGUGUUAAAGUCUCCCACUAUUAUUGUGUGGGAGUCUAAGUCCUUUUGUAAGUCAUUAAGAACUUGCCUUAUAUAUCUGGGUGCUCCUGCAUUGGGUCCAUAUAUGUUUAGGAUCGUUAGCUCUUCUUGUUGUAUCGAUCCUUUUACCAUUAUGUAAUGGCCUUCUUUGUCUCUUUUGAUCUUUGUUGCUUUAAAGUCUAUUUUAUCAGAGAUGAGAAUUGCAACUCCUGCUUUUUUUUGCUUUCCAUUUGCUUGGUAAAUCUUCCUCCAUCCCUUUAUUUUGAGCCUUUGUGUAUCCUUGCAUGUUAGAUGGGUUUCCUGGAUACAGCACACUGAUGGGUUUUGGAUUUUUAUCCAAUUUGCCAGUCUGUGUCUUUUGAUUGGUGCAUUUAGUCCAUUUACAUUUAGGGUUAAUAUUGUUAUGUGUGAAUUUGAUACUGCCAUUUUGAUGCUAAGUGGCUGUUUUGCCUGUUAGUUGUUGUAGAUUUUUCAUUAUGUUGAAGCUCUUUAGCAUUCAGUGUGAUUUUGGAAUGGCUGGUACUGGUUGAUACUUUCUAUGUGUAGUGCCUCUUUUAGGAGCUCUUGUAAAGCAGGCCUGGUGGUGACAAAAUCUCUGAGUAUUUGCUUGUUCGCAAAGGAUUUUAUUUUUCCUUCACUUCUGAAGCUCAGUUUGGCUGGAUAUGAAAUUCUGGCUUGAAAGUUCUUUUCUUUAAGAAUGUUGAAUAUUGGCCCCCACUCUCUUCUGGCUUGUAGUGUUUCUGCCGAGAGAUCUGCUGUGAGUCUGAUGGGCUUCCCUUUGUGGGUGACCCGACCUUUCUCUCUGGCUGCCCUUAGUAUUCUCUCCUUUAUUUCAACCUUGUUGAAUCUGACGAUUGUGUGCCUUGGGUUUGCUCUUCUUGCGGAAUAUCUUUGUGGUGUUCUCUGUAUUUCCUGCAAUUGAGUGUUGGCCUGUCUUGCUAGGUGGGGGAAAUUUUCCUGGAUGAUGUCCUGAAGAGUAUUUUCCAGCUUGGAUUCAUUCUCUUUGUCCCCUUCUGGUACACCUAUCAAACGUAGGUUAGGUCUUUUCACAUAGUCCCACAUUUCUUGGAGACUUUGUUCAUUCCUUUUUGCGCUUUUUUCUCUGAUCUUGGUUUCUCGUUUUAUUUCAUUGAGUUGGUCUUCGACUUCAGAUAUUCUUUUCUCUGCUUGGUCAAUUCGGCUAUUGAAACUUGUGUUUGCUUCGCGAAGUUCUCGUAUUGUGUUUUUCAGCUCCUUUAAUUCAUUCAUAUUCCUCUCUAAGUUAUCCAUUCUUGUUAUCAUUUCCUCGAAUCUUUUUUCAAAUCUUUUUUCAAGGUUCUUAGUUUCUUUGCAUUGAUUCAAUACAUGAUCUUUUAGCUCACAAAAGUUUCUCAUUAUCCAUCUUCUGAAGUCUAAUUCCGUCAUUUCGUCACAGUCAUUCUUUGUCCAGCUUUGUUCCCUUGCUGGUGAGGAGUUUUGGUCCUUUCUAGGAGGCGAGGUGUUCUGGUUUCGGGUGUUUUUCUCCUUUUUGCACUGGUUUCUUCCCAUCUUUGUGGAUUUUUCCGCUGGUCGUCUGUGUAGUUGCUGACUUUUCGAUUGGGUCUCUGAGUGGACACCCAGAAUGUUGAUGGUGAAGUAUUUCUGUUGCUUGAUUUUCCUUCUACCAGUCUAGCCCCUUCGCUGUACGACUGCUGAGGUCCGCUCCAGACCCUGCUUGUCUGGGGUGCACCUCUAGCAGCUGUGGCACAGCGAGGGAUGCUACCAGUUUCUUUUUCUGCUAUCUUUGUCCCAGGAUGAUGCCUGCCUAAUGUCAGUCUUUUGGAUAUAGAGGGGUCAGGGAGCUGCUUGAGGAGACAGUUUGUACUUUAUAGGGGUUUAAUUGCUGAGCUGUGCGCUCUGUUGUUCCUUCAGGGCUGUUAGGCUGCUAUGUUUGAUUCUGCUGCAACAGAGCUCAUUAAAAAACCCUUUUUUUUUCCCUCAAAUGCUCUGUGUUGAGGGGUUUGGGCUUUAUUUUUGGAUGUUCGAUGAGGUGUCCUGCCCAGCUAGAAGGCAGACUAGCCACUGUUUGGCUGCCGAGGCUCCGCCCUGCUGUUGUGUGAUUCGCCCUGUUCCUGCCGGCUCUGCUGUGGUCUCCGCCAUGCCCUGCGGCGGAGUCUCUUCGUUGUAGCGUGUUGCCUCAGCAACGGCAGGCUGCGUCAGCAGUGGGCGUGUAUCUCAGUAGGGAUGGGUUGCCUCGGCAACGGCUGGCUGCGUCAGCAGUGGGCGUGUAUCUCAGUUGGGGCGGGUUGCUUCGGCAACAGCUGGCUGCGUCAGCAGUGGGCGUGUAUCUCAGUUGGGGCGGGUUGCCUUGGUAGUGGUGGACGCCCCUCCCCCACAGAGCGUCUCGGGCCGUCUGCUCUGGAUAGUUUGAAAUCGCGGUUUUGUUCGGCCCACUGGGUAUCCCAAACGAUCUGUCCCUACAAUCCCCUGGGCUGGGCUUCUGUCCAAGUCUCGUUCAGUCUCAAGUCCAGCCCUCUCAAGUCUCAGGUUGCCGGUUCAACAAGGCACCCGGACAAGCGCACCCUGUGGGGAUUGCUGGGUAGGGCCGGCCGCAGCCGCCCCGGCUGCCGGCUUCGCCAGGCAGACCUACUGCCUGGCGUCCCGUGUCUUUUUUAUACUUGGGAGUUUCCCCGUUCUGUGGGCAACAAAGAUCAGUCUGGAAAUGCAGCUCAGACUUACCGUUUGCGGAUUCAACGCGAGCGCCAAUCCUGGGUUGUUUUCACAGCGCCAUCUUGAGUCCUCCUCCGCAUAACUAGUUAUAGAAGUGAAUUGAGAAAAGCCUUGUUCCUUCCCCCCUCAUGCUUGCAUGUAUGAUAGGUAUAAUGAUGCUAACCAGCCCAGAGCCCAUCCAGGUAACCAUCCAGGCAGCUGGUCAGAGAUACAGGAUGUAUGGGGUAAAACACAUAAUAUAGAGCAUGCCUAAAUCUUACUUUAAGGUACUAUAUUAAGGUAUCAAAAUAAAAGCAAACACAAAUUCAACAACCAGGGAGAACCAAGGAAUGUAAGCAUAUGGCACUAUAUUAAGGUAUCAAAAUAAAAGCAAACAUAAUAUAAGACACUAUAUUUAGGUAUCAAAAUAAAAGCAAUCACAACUUCAGCAACCAGGGAGAACAAAGGAAUAUAAGCAUAUGGCAUCAAGUGCUUUGCAGGGACACCAGGUUUUAUGGUGAGAUGACUGACACUAGCCCAUUCUCCUACCUCUAGGAAGGGGCCAUGUAUAAUUUCUGGACUCAGCUGAGUGUCAAUUCCAAACACCUCUGAGACCUCUUUGCAGGGUUCUUACUCUAUCAAAUCCAUUAAGAGCGCUUAGCAGCUCCAGAGAAAAAUGUAAUAAUCCUAACCACAUCAAAUGUCCAGGCAAUCCCUGGAGUAGGGUAGGCAGUUGCAUGUGUGUCUCGGUGUCUCCCCACUAUGCCAGCAGCAGGCAUCACUAAUGAAUCAGCCUACUCCUCCCCAUGGACCCUGGAUGCAGCCAGUACCAACCAGUCCAAGCUUACAUACACAGGAGGACACUAGCUCACUGUCUUUGUAACUCAAAUUCUUGUACUUGCCUCAGCUUCUUUUUGGAAAAUCCAAAUACAACUUUUCUGAUGACAAGAUGCUACAGGGCAUUUCUCCUUUAGUGAAGCACAGAAGUGUUCCCUGGCUUUCUAAAGGAGAUCACUUAACGUUUACUGCCCUCAUUCCUUUUCUAUCGACAAACCUUGUAUUUCAGCACAAACUGUAAUUCUCCUUUCCACACUAAGUUAUCGGUGGAACAGUCAACAUAAAAGUGCUCCUAGAUUGGUUUUCAGCUCUGCUUCUUAACUUGAUUCCAAUGUGGAUUACACCAAGCCUGGAACUCUCAUGAUUUAUUCUCAACCAGCAAUCAAAUAAAACAUAAAAAAAAAAUACACAUGGCAUUCCCACCCUAGAUCCCCAGAUAUACAAAACCCCAGCGUGAAGCAAUUUCAGCAAGACUUCCUUUUCUUGUUUUUUUUUUUUUUUUUGACAAGGUCUCCAUUGUCUAGGCUGGAGUGCAGUGGCAGGAACAUAGCUCAUUGCAGCCUCCACUUCCUGGGCUAAAACCAUCCUCCCUGCUCAGCCUCCUAAGCAGCAUGCACCACCACACCCAGCUAACCUUUCUGGGGUUUUUUGUUUUUGUUUUUUUUUUUAAGAUGGGGUUUCACCAUAUUGGUCAGGCUGGUCUCGAACUGCUGACCUCAGGUGAUCUGCCCACCUCAGCCUCCCAAAGUGCUUGGAUUACAUAGCCACUGCACCCAGCCUCAGCAAUAUUUCUUUGGCAGGAAUCUGGUCUUGAGUAAAGUCUGCCCAGUGAUGAAAAACUCUUAAACCUCUGCCAGAAAGCUCAGCAGGUCAGUGCAAUUUGUCCCUUGCCUUGCUCAUCUCUCCUGAGUUGGACUGAAGAGGGCUUCAUCAAACAAGGAAAUACAAAGGGCAAGGGCCCUGCCAGCCGAGUACCCACUUCCAUGGGCAGGGGGAAGUGACCAAAAGCAAACUCAUUCUUCUGGUCACCUUCAUGGGUGCUGCAAUCCUAUGAAAAAUGUCCUCCUGAGCACACCCUGAGUGCCCACUGUGCUUUAAUUAGAGAAGUAUGAUAAAAUGUAAGACCAGAAGGUGAGCUUCAGAAAUGCAAACAUUUAGGUCUUGAGAGUCCAGUGCUGAGAACAAGACACUGGGACCCCAAUUCUGCCCAUGGGAAGGGGUGAGAAUGACGAGUAGUUUACAAAAAUGAGGGUGUGCCAGUGGGUGCUUUGUUUUGGGGGACACUGGAGCUUCAGACUAGGGAGCUAGAAACAUCUGGCCAAGAGAGGCUUCUUAAGGUUGACCAGAAAAGAGAGGGAUGGAAGGUCUAGUGUGACUGGACUGCUCACCUGGAAGUGAGAGGCUGCACCUGCCCUCUGAAGGAAAAGGGCUGAGUUCUUCCCAAGAGGACAGAAGUGUGUAGCCAGUAGACUUGGUUGGAAAACAAGUCUUUAGUAACAAUCUGCAGAUUAAACCAAGCCAAUCCACAUGUACUGCUUAGCUCUGUAGUGAGGCCACACAUAGUAUUUAUGGCUACCUUCAUAUUUAUAUAAUUAUUUAUUUGUAAAAUAUAUAUACAUUACAUAUAUUUGUAUAUCAAUAGUUUCCUUUAUACCCAUACAAAUAUACUUGUGAGCACAUAUAUUUAUUUACAUAUAAAUACAUACACAUGCCCCAAUCGAAAGGCUUAAGUAUAUAUUUGAGUAUAUAAUUGUUCAUACACAUGAAUAUAUGUACACAUUGUUACAUAUAUUAUUACAUGACAGUCAAUAAGGUAUAGUCUUUGCAUUUAGAUAGUUCCAAGUUUGAAUCCCAGUUCUGUCACUUAGGGAAGGUGUUCCUUGGGUAGAUUAUUUAAUUGGGCCCAAUUUCCUCUUCUGUAAGGUAGAAAUAAUGACAUAUAAAUUACCAUACAGAUGUAAAAAACAAGAUAAUAAAGAUAAAAUAUACAAAAUAGAUGAUCAAUGGCAGAUACAGCUACUUAUAUAACUAGCACCUCUGUGUCUGCAAUGAGCUGAAGAAUGAAUGCCUCAUUCUCUGGGGUUGGUAGAAAUCAGAGUAGGGGGCCAGUAGCACUUUUAUUUAGGGUGUUUUGAACAAAUUCGUCUAAUAUGUACCAUCCAAAGGGCUCAUAAGAGGUAUCUUUUUUUCAAAUCAAAUGCUUCUAUUUCAAGAGUGGCUCAUUUCUCUUUUAUAACUUAGUGAUUUGGAGGAGGAAUUUUCUGUUUACGUUUAUAAAACACAGUUUCUGAGAGGUAAAUGUCAAUUUCAAACACAGGAGAACUUCCUAAGAAAGUUGCUCCCAGAAGUAUUGAGGCCCCUGUUACACAGGAUGCUUCUGCAGAGGCAGGGCAAUCACAUAUGGGAAUCCAAAAUCAGAUGAGGGCUGCACUGCGUGUUUUCUGAGGCCCCCUUGCACCUUGAAACCCACACAUUCUGUGGCUUUUUAGAAGGUGCCCUCUGAGUGUGCUGCACUGUGGUUUCUGUACUGCCUUCCCACCAGCCUCCCACCCACUCCUAGAGGCUUCUAUUCAUCAGUUACAAGGCCCUGAAGGAAUCCAAUAGUGAGGAGGUGAGAUUACAUUCUGAGGAAAUGGGUAAAUUGAAAUGGGCUGAGAUUGAACUCAACCGGGAAGCCAGCUUCAUUUAGCAGCUUGUGCAAAGUCUUAUUAGGAAAAUGUAGCCAUCCAGAACAUCGGCUCUGCCCGCACGUGGUGGGAGGGGCUUGCUGGUCACGCUGCAGGUGGAAGGCCUUCCCUUUGCAGGCUUGCACAGCCUCCUGCCAGGUCAGUGUGACCCGGGCUCUGCUCCCUUGGGUAUUAAAGCAGACGUUCUGAUUUAAUUCUGCCCCUGCCAACAAGGCCUGCUUUCUCUGAGCAUCUUUCCAGAGGAAUUUUUUGCUUUGCCUCACUGUCUCCCCAGGCCAUUCCAGUUUUCACCAAUCUAAAGGUACAAAAACACGUCACAGUGGACCCUGGAAAUAGGAUGUGGAAUACACUGAGUAUUGGUAAUAGAACUUAUGUCAGUGAAGAGAAAUUGGGAAAAUGCUUUUGAUGUGCCUUUCAAACAUCCAGGAAGACGAUAUUGGUGACUGAGAGAGCAAGGAACGAAUAAGAAUAGGUGAUAACAGCAUAAGCAUAAGCAGCAGCUGUAAAGCCUUUUCUUCCUAAAAAAAAAUGACAAGAGUUCAUCAAAUCCAAACCCUAGUGAUUAGUGGCUCCACAAUUUUAAAGAGAUAGGCGUUUGUGCAAGUCUCAAAUUAUCAGGCUUUCCUCUCUUUCUCUCUCUCUCUCUCUCUCUCUCACACACACACACACACACACACACACACAGUUAAAAUAUGACCUUUCUUUGUUUCAAAGAACCAUUAGCCUUGAAGGAAGGACCUCUGGGUCUUUGGUUUACAGCGGCUUAAAAGCCUUUGCCAUCUGUGAAAAGGUGGAGAUAUUUAGAGAUAUAACUAGGUAUAUUUGUGACUAUGACAAGUUCUAAGAUGCAUGCUUAUCCCAUUCUAGUGGAAGCCCUGGCAAUCUGGCAAUUUUCAGAUGAAAAAUGUCAUAGAAGUUUGAGUUUUGGUAAUUAUCCAUUUAUAUGCUCUGGAUGCCCAAUGAGGGGUCAGAGAUUGCCUCAUUUGCUGGCUAUAUAGCUGUUCGUAAGUAAGCGUAAUGUGACACACACUCUGUAUUAGUUGAUAGGGAUGGGAAAAUUAGUUAUGUCACAUCUGAAAGCCACUUUACAUUCGGAGGUCAUAACUGAGAGGAAAAAUAACCAAAAGUUUCAGUAUUCAAUUUGUUUACUCUGAGCAAAAUGCAAUCUCUUAAACUGAUGAUGAGAGGUGGAUAGAUGAGAUGAAAAAGGCUUUUAGGAGCUCACUUUAAAAGCUCAAAAGGUGUCUGGGACAUUAAAUAGCUGUUAAAAGCUCUCGUUGGAUAAUUUAAGUGUAAAUGAGUAUGAACUAUAUGGAUUAAAUUUCCUUAAAAUACCUGUCUGAAAAAUUAAGGAAAGACUAUUCGAGACAAACACAGUUUACCUUUUUUCAAAACCUGAAUGUUUCAAAAAAAUAAUUUCAGAGUUUCAAUGAAAGCUAAAUGCAGUCUGAUUUAACUGUCCCUAGUGAUCUUCCCAUUGAAAGCCACAAUUCAGUGAUAAUUAUACCCACAUUAAAAUAAGUACAUGUGUUGAUACACACAUACCACAUAAAGUAUACAAAUUUAGCCUGAGCUUUUCAAAGCUUUUUCUGUCAUAAAUGAUGUUAGAGAUAAAAAAUAAUUCAGCCUAUAAAUGUAAAAAUGUGAAUUUAAAAAAAUGUUUAUAAUCCGAAAUAACAGUUCAUUUGAUCCUUUGGGGAUUGUUGUUUAUUCUUAUUAUUACUAACAUUGGGAAUGUUAUAUCUUUAUAGUAAAUUUUACCCACCAAUUAUUGUGAAAGCCCCUCCGUUUGCUACAUUAAUUUCUGAAGAAUGUCAGUGCUUUUUCCUGAGGACAGUCACCCUUGAAAUAAUGCUGCUUUAAAAGACCAAAUUUUUAACUUUAGCUGUUACCUAUAGAGAUGCCGUUCUACAUUAGAUGUUCAUUAUGCAAUGAGGUUAUGCACGAAAAAGCAUCUUUUAAAUUAUUCAUUAUUAUUAUUAUUGCUCUAUUAAGGUCAUCCUUUUGCUUGAUUCUAAGAUGUUUUCUUUAGAAUUUAAACAUUAUAAGCAACAUUUGGCAAAAAACAAGCUCAUUAUGAAUAUCAUGUCCUCUCUAUUGCCCCGUGUUUUAGAACAUUUUCUUUCUUCUUAGCUCAUCACGGUAUGUAGGUUCAAAAAUAAAAGGAACCGAGUUUGAGAAAUGAGAAAAUUGCGGCACAAAAAGCCCAUAAUGUCACUGCACAUUAUAGUGGCAGCUACUGGAGGCAUCUGGCUGUAGAACAACUUUCUAUACUUUCAAUUUCUCAUGUUUCAUUGUUAUGUAGCAGUAGAGUUUAAGGUGUCAUCAUCAACAUAAUUAUUGGAGCUUUUGAGGUACCACCAGACAUAAAAGAUUGAUGUGUGGUUUAACAGCGUGAUGCAGAUUCAGAUAUGGAAUUUAGAGAAUGAAAACCCAUUCCAAGGAUGCAGUGUCAUGAGUUUACUCUCACCUCUCAGCAGCUAGGGAGCCAGGUUUAGUCCCAAGAGACCUGAAAGCUGCUGGGAACCCUUCAUUCAUUCAAACACUAUUCUAAGCACAUGGGUAAAAUCGACACAGAGCCAUAUAAUCAUGGAGCUUCUGUUCUAGCAGAAGACAGACAAUAACAACAGUCUCAGUGAGAAGGUAAGUCACAGGGGCUGUUAGAAGAUGACAAGGGCUUUGGAAAAGUGAGAAAGUAGAAGAGAGCAAGGGAGAUCAAGAGGGCAGUGGGGUGAGCAGAGUAGGUUACAACUUCAAUAGGGUGCCCAGGGUCAGUAUCCUGGAAAAUGAGACAAUGGAGCAAAGACUUGAGGAAGGUGAGGGGUUGACCAGGCAUAGGGAAAGAGCUUUCCAGGAAGUGGAAGCAGGGCACACAAAGUUCUUGAUGUAUUUGAUGAGCAGUAGAGCAGUCAGUGUGGCCAGGAUUUAGAGGCAGUGGGAGAGGGGCAGGAGAUGAGAUCUGAGAGGAAAUGGGAAGCAGGGCAGUAGACGAUCCAGCUGUGCAGUCUGUCGCAGACUGUUAGGAGGACUUUUGCAUCUACUGGGGUGGGGGCAGGAAAAUGUCUUUUGUUGUUGUCCUUGCUGCUUUGGUUGAUUGGUCAUUAUUACAUUGUGAUUGGUGGUGGUGUGGAUGCUUUCAUGCUCAGGUUUCAGCAGGUGAAAGAUCUUGACUCCCCAUCUCACUGUGCUGGGUCAUUAUUACGUUGUGAUUGGUGGUGGUGUGGAUGCUUUCAUGCUCAGGUUUCAGCAGGUGAAAGAUCCUGACUCCCCAUCUCACUGUGCUGGGUCAUUAUUACGCUGUGAUUGGUGGUGGUGUGGAUGCUUUCAUGCUCAGUUUUCAGCAGGUGAAAGAUCCUGACUCCCCGUCUCACUACACUGGGUCAUUAUUAUGUUGUGAUUGGUGGUGGUGUGGAUGCUUUCAUGCUCAGGUUUUAGCAGGUGAAAGAUCCUGACUCCCCCUCUCACUAUGCUGGUGUACCCCACCCCCUUUAAAGGCUCUGCUUAUAGUGAUGGAGAUUGUAAAGGUGACAGCCGGCAUGAUCAGUCUUCUGUUAUGAGUCUGUAUGCACUAGGCUUGUCAUCUGACAGCCCAGCAUUAGUGGCUUUGUUAGAGUAUAUACACUAUCUUAUACCACUUGUACUCGCAGGCCUUAGAGUCUAACAGCCUUGUCUUCAACUCUGCAUUCUUUAACUCCCAACCUUGAAGAGUUUGAAUCAAAUGCUUACACUCUUAAAGCUUUAACUGUCUACUUUAUUAGGAUUAUUGUGAGACAUAAAAAAGAUUGUGAAAAGCAUGUUGUGAUAAUGGGGAUGGUAUCAUAAAUGAUGAUGAUAACAAUGAUUUAGUCCACACAGCCUGUUUUAUCACAAAGAUGGAUGGAUGGCUCCCUGGCCUCGGAUGCCUCAUGAUACAAGAUUUAUGAUCCAGCUAUUAGGGAAGGGCCUCUGGGUACCUCAGCUCCCUUCUAGGAAACAAUGUUCCACUCUUGAUGCCAAAGCACAGUUACAGAACCCUUGGAAGGGUUCAAGUUUUCAAAGCCCCCUGCCCCCAGCUUAUAUGCAACAAUGUGUGAGGAGGGGUAUCUCCAGGGGUUCAAGGCCACUGACUGACAAUGUCUUGUAGUUCAGGAAGCCCAUCCCUGACAGGUGCAAGGCUUUGAAGUCCUUUAGUUACUGGUGUGAGAGGGAGAGGAUUCAGAACUUCCCAAGUUUCAAUAACUGAAGAAAUCAACAAACCAUUAUGCUUAAAGAGUGGAUUUUUAGGUGCUGGAUGCUGUGGUCUCAAUUAGAAGCUCUAGAAAUAACAAAUGUCCACCACCUCACUCCCUGGGACUCAGGAAACCAUCACCAGCAAGCAGAACCUGAAGGAAAUGAGUACAUUAAAACAUCAGAAUUUGCAGAAAUAUUUGAUUCCUUCUGGCAGGCUCAUCAAUCACGAAUGAUUAGAAAGCUGAGUUGCAGUGGGAAAGCCUCUGUUUUGAAUGAUGCCUCAUUUCGUUUCUAUUACUAGGUGGUUAUAGUUUGUAAAGAGACUUCUCUGCAUAUAUUUUUUAUUUUUGUUUUUCAACUAAAUUGUUUCCUCUUAUGGGAGCAAAGAAAUUAUGACAAUGCUUAAAAAUGUGAGACUGAUAAAUGCUCCUAGAUGGCACCAAUAAGUGUAAAGAGACCCAAAACAUUCUUACCACACCCCUCUGUACCAGGUACUACAUUUAAUCUUCUGUAGUCUCAAAAAAGUAGCAAGUUCAGAGACUUUAAAAAAAAACUUCCCGAGAUCACACAUAAGUGGAAUUUGAGACCUUGUCUUUCUGAGCUAUGGCCCAGGUUGAUUUCCCCUAGAAAAGAGCUUCAUUCCACCUUCACAUUUACCCCAAAAGGAAUAGCAAUGUAUAUUGGAAUCUUCAACUCCUCUAAAUCCAUUUUUUUGGUCACUUCAACUUUGAUAGAACUGGGGAUGAGGCAGGGAACAAAGAGAAAAUAUCCCUUUGAGCUCAGUCUCCAUGUCUUUGCCAGUCAAAAGAAAAAGAGGUUCAGUCAAAGAAAUACAUGAUACAUAUAAGUUUCUGCAACAAAAAGCUUGAAGGGAACUUCAUCAGAGAAAGAAUCCAGACCAGAAAAAGGGAUCUGAAUUCUGCAGUGGGACAAUCUGGCAAGAGGGAGAAAGAAGGGAGGGGCUGGCGGGAGAAAGAGGGGCUGGUGCAGGGGAGCAGGCGAAAGCCACAUCAUUUUCUUUAUUAUCCUGUCCAUUUGCCUUCAACUUUAUGAUGUUCUGUCCAUCAGCUGUUAACACCUAGUUCUCUAAAAAAUAAAUACAACUUGAGCAAAUUAAGUGAAAAGGCUUUGGAGAGCCCAAUUACUGUGUGUCCCCUGGACGCUUGGAAAUGGACUUCAUUUUUUCUGUAAUAAACCAAAUGGUGAGUGACAGCCCAGCCAAAUGAGGCACGUCCCAGCUCCAGCUUCAUCUGUCAGGCACAUGCCGUGAGACAGGCUUUAUGCAUUGCCGCGGCAGCACGCACGGAGAGGUGUGUGCGCGCAAACAUGCAUACUUAAGCUAAAUUGGAAGGCACCUGCUCCCGGGUGAGCUGCCAUUUUUUUCUUCCCAAUUCAUCACAACAGUUGCUUUCUCUUGAAAAUCUAGCAGGUUUCUGAGAAAAGUCAUGUUCAUUAUGGAAGUUAUUUAUUAAUAAUAAAUAGAGGCAAAACUCAGUUAGAAACAGAUAUAUUUUCUCAUACCGGAUGCAAAGACAUUAAUGGAUGAAUGCGUUCUGCCUUCCAGUCUGGGCUCAUUUCUUUAGUUGCCUUUUUAGGUAUCUCUGGUUUAUUCAUUCAUUCAUCCACUCAUUUAUUUACUUGCUCAACAAACUGUUCAUAAAAGUCUACUCUUAGCUGUGCUCUGUGUUAGGAGCAGAGUGGUUACCAAGCUGAGUAAGUAACUUUCCUCUACCAGAAUUCUGAUCUGGCUGGGAGAACAAACAUAUCCAAAGUCAAAUAUCUAAAAUAUCAAGUGUUUUAUAUUCUAUUAGCACAUUCCCUCUGAAGAAUGAUAGGUCGUCUUGUACUUUCAAAUGGGUAGUAUUUGCCCCAUGGGUUUCUUCUGAUGGGUGAGCCAUAUCUACACACCAGCAUUUCUAUUUUCACACCUAAUUUUGUGGCAUUGAGACAGCUGAGAAGUGUGCCUUUUCUUAAGUGUGGUGUGAAACCCUUGUUCUCAAAUCUCUGGAUACUGAAAACUUGUCUGGUUCUAUAAUCAUCCAUUCAGCAAAUCACUGUGGAACAUCUUUUUCACACCAGGUAUUGCACUAGAUGCUAAAAUUCUAGGGGUAAACACAUCUCACACAGUCCUUGUCCUCAUAUAGUUUUUACUCUGUCAAGGGAAAUAGACAUCAAACAAAUAAUUAUGCCAAUAAUUACUUAAUCACAGCUGUAAUUAAGUGAUAUAAUGGCAAAUGGCAGAAUGCUUUAAGAGUGUUAAAUGAGGACCUGACAGUUUGGGGGAAGAGGGAAGAUUCCAGAAAGGCAUUCAUGAAAUUUACAAUAGGAAUUAGUCAUGUGAAGAGGACAUAGGAUGGCAUUUUAGGUAAUUGUUGCUUAUUGUUGUUGUUCCCAUGUAAGUAUGUCUUUCCCAAGAGUGGAUGGGUUUGGAUCUUAGACACCGGUGGAGGUUGUUAAAGUAGGCUGGCCUUGGGAGCAGUUAGAAUAGGUAGUCAUGGAGUAGCAUUAUUUAUAGGGAAUGGAGUCUCAUAUUUUGGUUCCAGAACUUGAUGUAUCCCUUUGGUCCUAGAGAAGGGCCAUUGCUUUAGAUACCAUGUGCUUCAGUCUUACAGCAGCCUUUAUUCACAUGAAUGGCUAGCGCUCAGAAAUUCCUUCAGUAAAUGGACAUGAGAAGGUGCGUGAAGCUUAACAGCAGACAAAGGGUAAUUCGAGGUGAGAUGCAUGUCAAAUGUGUGUCAAAAUCCAUCUUUUCCUACUUCAGCUUCACCAAUACACAUAUGUGGAUAGCCAGCAUUGGCAUCACAUUAUGAUGCCCUACUGACAUACUUCAUGGCACUUUAUGAUCCAAGUCUAUUCAUGCAAAAAUUGAGAGACCAAGAUAAAUUCAAUGAGCUACUCUGCAUCACAUCCUGCGCCCAGAGUAAACUCCAGAGACUUUCAAAAUCCUAACCUACGACCCUUUUGACCAUGCCCCAACUGCCCCUUGUCAAUGAUACUGAAUGUAGUAGAAUCCACACAAUGAUAUUGAGUGCAGUAGAACACACGGUAGUAUAGACUUCCAUCAUACAUUCAUUCAGUCACUAAGUGAGGCUUAGUGACAGUGAAUUGUCCAUGGUCGCAGAGCUACAGGCAGAUCUAAAAUUAGAAUCACAGUUGGAUAGUUUAAACCUUUUAACUUGCAUCAUCAUUAUCACCGUUAAUUAUUAGAAGAAACAUCUGAAAACUGUGAUAUUUAUAUGUGAUAAUACAACAAUACAGUGCAAUGCGAUGCCAUAUAAUACAAUGUGCCAAGUGAAAUGCUAAGUGCUUGAGAUAAAAUGGUGAGCAAGAUAGACAGGCUGCCUUCCCCAGCAGACUUUAUAAUCCAGUGAGGAAGACCAACAGCUAAAUCAGCUAUUACAAUAAAGCAUGGUAGAUGCUCUGAAUAGAGAAAAAUCAUGCCUUGGGAGCUCAGAGUAAGGAACUCCUAACCUUGCCUAGGGUCAUUAAAUGCAGUUGGAGUUCUUAAUCACAAAGCUUAGAGGUGCUGAGUAGAUGGGUAAAAGAGGGAAAAAUAUGUUUCAGGCAAAAGUGCAGCCUGAAUGAAGACCCAAUGGCUAGGUAAAACAGAGCAUGUUACAGGGUUCAAGAAGGCUGCAGUGAAGUGUGAGGGAACAAUGGCAGGAAGGAAGGAUGCCAUAAGGAUGCCUGGUCCUCUCAUAUUAAAAGAUAAUCAUAGUGACAGCAAUGUAUCUAGAAGCCCCGACCCCCAAACAGCAUUUUACAGUCUGCUUUCUUCUUCGGUUGGCAUUGCCAUCUAAGUCUGGAUAGUACAUGCAGACUUAGGGCACCAAUGGCAAUCUCAGAUACCGUUUUCUUUGAAUGCAUACAUGAUUAGCAUCAGAAUUUGAAAGAAUCUCAGAAGUCGUCUAGUUCUCCUGACCCUAGCCCAACUGCUGCCGUUUCACAGAUGGAAAAAGUAAGACUUAGUGACAGAGUGAAUUGUCCGUGGUCAAGAGCUACAGGCAGAUCUAAAAUUAGAAUCACGAUCUGACAGUUUAAACUCUUUAAAGUGGAUCAUCAUUAUCAUCAUUCAUUACUAGGAGAAACAUCUGAAAUCUCUGAUACUCAAUUUUUACCUCCUGACUUAAAGCCUGUUAACUUGCUUAGUAUAAAAGACAGCAUUUAGAUGGAGCUUCUCUAGGCAUUCCUCUGAUAAAUCAUAUGAGUGCAUUUCAGGAGCAACAUCUGAACUAUGUGAUCCAGGCCUCACUUCUCAGUCAUCGGUGCUGCCAGGGUCCCUCCAGCUACCGGUCCUAAGACAUGAACAGGUCACCGUAGCUGUGUGGACAUUGUGAGCUUGUGGAGGGUAAGUGUGUGCCGCAUCCAUUCCUAAGACAGGAACAGGUCACCGUAGCUGUGUGGACAUUGUGAGCUUGUGGAAGGUAAGCGUGUGCUGCAUCCAUUCACAAACCUUCUGAUCAGAGGACUCUCCCGAGGCAAGGCAUUUCUUGUUUUCAUUUUGAACCAGUGGGUCACAGCUGGCAAACAAGCAUACCAGGAUACACAGAGAGACGGUGCAUUGAGCAGGAGAACACAGCCUUUGCUCAGCCCUAGUGAUCUCUCAGGGUGACACUGGGUGCUUGCUUUUUGGAACAGCCUAUAAACAGCUUUUCAAACCCACUACCCUUGAUUUAUUAGUGGCUUGGAAUUGCAAAUGUUUCUGAGAGCACAGGGUGUUCUCUUCCUCUCUUAGCAUACUUUCAGAACUUUAACUGAAGAAUCAUAGAAUCCAGCAGUUUAAGACCCGAAAGCACCUUUGAUCAUGUAGUUUUUAUAUUGUAUAGCUCAGGAAACUGAGGACUCCAGAAAUUAUGCAGUUUCCUAAAUGCUUCAUCGCUACAUGGUAGUAGAUACAAACUGAAUGCAUCAAUGUCUCUAAGAAAGAGAAACGGGAACAGACCUCAGUAUGGCGAGCUCUGCUUGCUGUCUUUAACCACGCUGAUCUUUAAUGUACCGCUCACAUUCAUUGAGAAUUGAUGACGUGUUAGGCACCAUGGGAAGCAGUUUUUUUGUACAUUGUCUCUUUGAAACCUUGAAAUAGCCUUAUGAAAUAUAGCCAAUAUCGUCACGCUGAUUUAUAGAAUAGCAACAUUUAUUAAAUGUUUACUGUAGGCACUAGACAUGAUUCUACCUCAUGUAUGGGCCUUAGCUCUUGUACUUCUCAUAACAGUGUUAGAGUCUCUACCCCACCCAUCAGGACGCUGGGUCUAAGUGAGUAUACACAACUUGUGCAAGAUUACAGAGCUGGCUGGGAUUUGGGGACAGACAGUGAACCUGGCCCCCACUUAGUCAUUGCACUGUGACAUCUUACGAGGAGGAUCUCACCUCCAGCUUGUUGGAAUCCAGAACUCUUUUUCAUUCACACCUUGAAUUUGUAAGCACAAAAGUCCUAAACUUAUAAGCACAAAGUAUUUUUACACCAAGUGGAAUUUUCUUGAGAUUCUUAAUCAUCUAGGAUAAUUCUUAAAGACAAAAAAAAAAAAAAACCUUAAUGUUUUUCCUACUCUUUUGUCUCAUGCAACACAACACUUCUGACAUCAGAUGUAUGAGAAAUUUUACCCCCACACCAACCAAGUGACGCUCAUGAGGACUGGGCAUUCUCCAAUUCGGUUCAAUUCUGACACUGUCUACCUGGAGAUGGCGUCAUACCCUUCAGGCUGAGGCUCAGCCCACAAGACGGCUUCCCACUUCAGGUGCUAGUUGUACCAGCGCUGCUGCUGAUCAGCGUUGCCAGCAUCUCUGCCUCCCCUUCAGGUUUAAUGCAUUUACUGAAUGGAUCACAGAACUGAAGGAAACACUUUCUUUCCAUACACUUCCCAGUGUAUCAGUAGAGGAUAUAGAGGAGCAGUCGGCUGGAAGAGGUGUGUGGGGCAAGGCAGGGGGAGGGGAGUAGAGCUUCCAGGCCCUCUUCUGGAGCGCCACCCUCAAGGACCCUACCAGUCUUCAGCAACCAGAAGCUCUUCAAACUCUGUCUUUUGGGGUUUUUAUUGGAGCUUCAUUCGUUUGACAUAAUUGAUUAUAUCAUUAGCCAUUGGUGAGCAACUCAACCUUCACCUCCUCUCCCCUCCUAGGAAGUAGAGGGUGGGACAGAAAGUUCCAAUGAUCUGAUCACAGAAUUGGCUCUCUUGGCAGCCAGCCACCAUUAUGAGACCAUCCUGGGGCACCAGUCGCCAGGCAUCUCAUUAGCCUACAAAAGACACUGUCACUUUGGAGAUUCCAAGGGUUUUUCAAAGCAGUGUUCCAAGAAAGAGGACAAAGACCAUAUCUAAAUAUAUAUGUAUGUGAUACAUAUGUAUAUUUCUUAUUAUAGAUCACAAUAUCACAAUAAUACAAAAGUAAUAUUUUCUUUUCUUUUUUUGAGACGGAGUUUCGCUCUUGUUACCCAGGCUGGAGUGCAAUGGCGCGAUCUUGGCUCACUGCAACCUCCGCCUCCUGGGUUCAGGCAAUUCUCCUGCCUCAGCCUCCUGAGUAGCUGGGAUUACAGGCACGCACCACCAUGCCCAGCUAAUUUUUUGUAUUUUUAGUUGAGACGGGGUUUCAUCAUGUUGACCAGGAUGGUCUCCAUCUCUUGACCUCGUGAUCCACCCACCUCGGCCUCCCAAAGUGCUGGGAUUACAGGCGUGAGCCACCGCGCCCAGACGAAAAGUAGUAUUUUCUUAUCCCGAAGUCAUCUAAGGUCAGCAUCAACUGAUCAACUGAUUUUCCAUGUUUCUGAGGAAUAAUAGCUACAGUGAAGACAGCGUUCUCUCCUGUCCCUAGCCUGUUACUCACCGGCUGUUUAGAAAACUAAGAUUGCUUUUGCUCUUUAGGAAGUGUUUUUAAUUCUGAAGGAUCAAGAAACUAAUUGUCAGUUUAGAAAUAUCAACACGAAAAACCCAAACACACAAAACCCAAGAAACUUACUGUUUGCAUAGUUCUGUUGUGUGUUUGUGUGUGUUUUUCACAGGUGCGAAGUCAGGCCAUGGGGCCUGUUGAAGUGUCCACUCCUUGGCAGCUUUAAAUUCUCACUGGUGCCCAUAUAUCUUAACAUCCUUCUUUAUGAAGACUUGAUGGACAUCACGUGAUCCAGUGUUUCCUCACUAACUUCUUCUCUAUCAGAGAAUGGAGAAUAAGGGUAUGUUUAAGAUGCCAGGGAGGAAAUACCCACUUGUAUGAAUGACAAAAUAGAAAUUUCAAAUGCGGGCUUACAAACAAUUUACACACAAUUCAAAGGAUCAGUUUAUCGGUUUUCUUUUAAUCUGACAUUCAGAUAACAAUACACUUGCCUUAAUUAUUUCUUGUCCUUUUAUUUUCAGAAUAUAUAUUUUGUAAAACUUAAAUAUUUCCUAAUUGAGGGUGUCAAUUAUUAGUUAAGAUGAAAAAACUCCCUUGUUCUUCCCAUAUUUUUAAACUAUUUCGCAAUGAAUAGAAAUUAUGUUAUAUAAAAGGCUUAGCAUAAUCUGACAGCUAGAUACAGAUAUACCUCAUUACCAUGGUCUCCACAAAUCCAAAACUGUAUAAUAAUUCAUAGGCAGGAUUGACCAAAGAUUGCAAAUGAUUUACCCUUCUUCGUAAUUUAUCUUCUAGUUCUACCUCUUCAUAGAUAUAGCUCACAACUACUUUUGGCUGUAUUUUGAAAUAGUAAAGUCCUGUGUCAGAAGCCCUUGAGGUGAACACUGAGGGGAACACUGAUUUCCACCUGUUCUCUUAGCCUCCUGAUGCCUCAUGGCUUUCACCUGAAAGGCAGAGAUACUCCUGGCCUCAUAGACACUGCGAGGCAAUGGUUGAGAGAGGAAACAGCAGCAAAAGGAACUCACGUUCAACUCCCCCUUCUUAGUAAAAUACAUUUUGAAUCUGUUGAGAACUCACUUUAUGACUCCGCAUUUGUUUCUUGCAGGGCUGCAAGGCAGCUGUCAUUAUCCUUGGUUCACAGAUGAGGAAACUGAUCCCAAAGAGACUGAGUAACUUGCUUGGAACAUGUAUAACUGAAAGCGUGAGAUUUGGAGUAAACCUAGUUUUGAGUAGUAAUUCUACCACCAGUUACUACGGGCUUUCUGGUCUCAAGCAAGUUACUCAUCAUCUCUCUGAACCUGUCUCUGCAUUUGUGUAAUGGUGGCAUGACAGUAUCUCCUAAGUAAUACCAGAACCUCCUAGUGUUCCUGUGUGAAACACAAGCCCAUUCAGGUCCCAUGCUCAGCCUUGACACACAGAAGAUACUAAACAAGGGGAGCUACUUUUAAUUGUGGGUCAAGAUCACACUGCUGAUAAGUGGAAGCCCUAGGCUGCACCUCCGGGAGGGAGGCUGCAAAGCCUGUGUAUUCUCAUGGCCACUUGCUGCCUUCUGCACAAGCCCACCCAGAGGUUAUGUUGUCUAUGAGAUGAAGCAGUGUGUUGGGUCCUGGCAGGAUCACUUGGCAGGUAUGACAGAGCCCGUGUCUGUGAUGCCUGGUUUCCACCUGAGCUUCCACAAGGUUUAUUGGGGCCCAACUUGCAGGGUAACUGAGCAGGUUGCUACUGGAAGAAGUUUAUCUGGCAGAAUCAUUACCUUGAAACCAUCAAAAACAAGGGAUGCAACAGUUCCCAAUCUCAGGUACUUAGGCACAAUGAGGGAGGGCAAGACCCUUCUGCCAUCCUCUGCUGUGCAGUGGUCCACUGGAGUCUUUAUAUGUUGGAAAGGGAUACACAAAGGGUGAAAUAGGUCCUUCUGAUAGCAGUCACAGGACACCACAGAUGAUUGUUAUUCAUGGGGGGACCAUAGAAGCCCCAGUCCAAUUCCAUGUUUUACAAAGGUUGAAAGCAAGACAGAUUGUAGGAAUAAUUGCCCCAGCUGAUCUAGCUAACUCGUGGCAGAGUGAAAAGGAUGGAGGAUGGGUUCAGUUGACAAGUAGGACAGGCCACCUCCCGUCUACUCCACCUAGUGCAGGAGGGAAGGAUGGCUUCAGCCGGAGCUGGAAUGGCUGACCUCCUCUUGACACACAGAGCUCUGGAUGACGUUCCCUCUGCAGAGACCCCUCCUUGAUUAUUCCACCUGUAUCAUUCCUGAAUUUUUGUCUAAUUAUUCAUGUCUCUCUGUCAUUUCACAGUAGUUCUCAGGGGCUGACAGUGAAUUACUUUUUAUUGUGUGUUCAUUGUCUGCCUGUUCCACUGGAAUAUAAACUCCAUUAAGGCUUGGGAGCUUUGUUUUGGUAACAGCUAAAUUCCCAGCACAUUGAACAAUACCGAUUCAUAAACAAUCAAAAAACCUUCAUUGAAUAAAUGAAUGGCAUUAAAUACUGACCUAAAAGUUAGUAGGUAAAUAUGGGCAGAUAAGUUUAGAGAGGCAGUAAGAAGGCAGACAGAGACCUCCAAACCUGUUUCCCAGGCAUAGUGGCUUUAGCCAGUGUUGACCUUUUCUGAUCUGGAAACACAGCACAGGAACAAAGUACUCCAAGUUCCUCAUCUCCUGCCAUUCCACUACCUUAGCUCUCUGAAAUUCCAGAAAAUCCCACCUUUUUCUUCUCUCCUUCAUUUACUUUUUCUUCUUUGCCUUUUCUGCACUCUGCUUGGACAUAAAACUGCUCAUCUUCUGAACAAUGCAUCUUCCUGGUGUCAGGAUCCUGCUCUCAUGCAACUUAUCUACUUACCUGUGAUAAAUUGGAAUAAGAUAUGGCUACCCAAUUUAUCUCAGGAAAAGCUUAGAGCAAUGGGGGAGAAAAAUUCAUCAAAAUGUUUGACCAUCUUGAAUUGUAGGUAGGACCUAGUCAUUUAUUAGGUGUCAAGAAUUGUGCUAAAUCUUAGAGAUGUAAAGUAGACUAAAAUGCAUAAAAUAUACUUCCAUGCUAUGGAAUUCAAUUCAACUGUAAAAAAAAUAAGCAUGCAUUUUUUUCCUUCCAACUUUUAUUCUAAUUUCCAAUAGCACAUGUGCAGGUUUGUCACAUGGGUAAAUUGUGAUCCUGAGAGUCUGGUGUAGAGAUGAUUUUGUCACCCAGGUAAUCAGCAUAAUACCUGCCAGGUGGUUUUUCAGUUCUUACUCUUCUUCCACUUUCCCCUCUCACAUGGCCCCGCCCCAUCUAUUAUUGUCUUCUUUGUAUACAUACAUACUCAAUGUUUAGCUCCUACUUGUAAGUGAGAACAUGCAGGACUUGGAUUUCUGUUUCUGCAUUAAUUUGCUUAGGAUAAUGGCCUCUAGCUCCAACCACGUUUCUGCAAAGGACAGUUUCAUCCUUUUUAUGGCUGCAUAGUAAUCCAUAAUGUAUAUGUACCACAUUUUCUUCCUUAUUCAGUCCACUGUUGAUGGCCAUCUAGGUGGACUCCAUGUCUUUGCUAUUGUGAAUAGUGCUACAAUGAACAUAUGAGUGUAUGUGUCUUUGUGGUAGAUCAAUUUAUAUUCUUUCAGGUAUAUACCCAACAAAGGUAUUACUGGGUUGAAUGGUAGUUUUAUUUUUAAUUCUUCUAUAUGUAAUGACAUGGGAGAUAUUGGAACAUACUGUUAAGUGGAAAAAAUAAGUUGCAAUUUGGCAAACAUACAUUACUAACUUGUUUUAAAAAUAUCAGUGUAUCUAUACCUAUACCUGUAUGCCUAUGUCCAAGUACAUUUCUACAUCUAUAGGUCAGAUAUAUAUAUAUCCAGAGAUGUCUGAGAGAUUGUGAAUACAGAAAACCAUCUUUAAAAGCAUACAACAACUGAUACAAGUGGCCAUCUCUAAAAGAAUGAGAUUGCUGAGGGUGGAGAUUUUGCUUUAUGUACUUUGGUAUGUUUCCAAUAUUUUUAUGUGAAGAGAAAAAUAUUUGCAGUGUAAAAACCAGAGGCAAAAACAACAACAGAAAAGGGUAUUAAUGAGUGUCUUCCCUUCUGCCCCCAAAUAAACCAUGCUCCUGUUAUUAAGGGAGACAGAGGCAGAUAAGUGUGGAAAUCAGUGUGCAAACCUCUGCCCACGUGACAUGCAUAGGAUGGAGCGACGCUUAAAGGAGAGAGGGCUUGUUUGCCACAGUCAGGGCGACAUCUCGGGGAAAAUGUUCUUGAGUUGAUUCUUGAAAAGUAAAGAGUUGAGCAUGGAGAUGGGAGCUGAAUAGGAGUGGGGGAAAUGGCACUCAUCUAAGCAAUGCAGAAUUAUUUGGCUAGAUGGAGGGUACCAUGUGCAUGGGACAAUCUCAUGAAGGCUGAGUCCAGACUAUGGAAGACUUCUCUUCAGGAGUCUCUCCCAAGUCAGUGCAGAAAUUGAGUCUGUUUAUUCCUUCAUUUCAUAAAUAUUUUUCAGCACUUACUGGCUGUUAGAGUUUUACUAAGUAUGAGGAUUUAAAGAUAAAUAAGAAAUAUAGAUCUUGCCUUCUUGGAGACUUUGGUAGACUUGGAUAAUUUUCUUUUCUUCUCAAAAAGGACACGUAAUGGCAAACUGCAGUAUGAGGUGCUGAUAGUUAGCAUUAAUUAAGGAUUAGAGGCCUUUAGGGGACAUCAAGGUAUUUCUGAAGGAUUGGUCAUUCAAAUCUAUAAUUUAGAGCAGCAUGGACAUUCCAUUUUGUAGCAUACUUGGGAAGGAUGAAGAUGUGUAGGUGGAACCAAGAUGUCUUAACACAAACAUUGGAAGAGCUGUGCACUCCCCUCCCCUCAGUCCUUUUGUGAGAUAGAGGGUUGGUUUGUUUAGCUCAUCUGUCCAGCUAACUGUUCUCCUGCCUGUCUAUCACUGGAUUUCCAUCACUAAGCGACUGCAGCAUCACGUGUCUAUGUUGAAGCAUUGAACUGUGAAUCUUAUUACAAGAAAAAAAAUUCUUAAACUAAAAAACAAGAGAGAAUUGAUCACUUAUAAGACAAUAAUAAAAGCAAAGGUAAUUUCCAAGAGCAACACAUAACAAUAUAUUGUUCUUUUUUUCCCCCAGAGCUAAUUUUAAGCAAGAAACUCUUGUAAGAUCCUUUAAAGAAUGCCACCUACAAUUCCCUCUUGCCACCUACUCCCCACCUCCUGCAUAAGUCAGGCUCUUAUUCAUUUCCUGAGUUGUUUGUACCCCUCAAGACCUAGGUUUGCCCAAAUUUCUGUGUGAACUAGAGCCUACUAUUCCUUGAAGUUAGCCAGCUUAACAUUUUUUUUUUAUAUAUGCAUUACUUUGUUGCUGGGAAAGUAAUCUUUCUGUUCUCUUAUCCAUCACGUUGUUUGUACUUCUUUGUGUAUAGCAGAGUAAGCUAUUUAUUUAAAUGCUUUGAGUUAUGUACCUUCCCAGGUAAACUAUUUUAAGAUACAGAGAUGGAUUUAGGGAUUCGUAUACUAUCAUUACUGGAAAAAAACUUGCAGCUCAUUGGUUCAUAGGCACACCAUCCAGAAUAUACAUAUUCUAAGCCUCAUCAUGCAUUCAAACGGCCUCUGCCAGAUCCUCCCUGAGCAUGUCUGCUGCUGGACACAGCUCCUACGGCUCCCAGUAUCUGUGGCUAUGGGAAUGGGCCUCAUCCUGUCGUACUCCUUUGGUCUCCCAGUAAAAUCUACAUGCUAAUACAAGUUCUGCCCUGGGAGACAGCAGAAUAAGUGUGAUUCCACCUCUCCACAGUGCUUCACAUGCUCCCACGUUGCCCUCUUGUCUCCCCUGACAAUGCCUUUCUUCAUGUCCCUCUAGUUACCGAUCCUGAAGUUCUUCUUGUUUCUGGUUUUUUUACGCCCACUAUUCUUGGUUUGCACAGUCUCCUAUUACAUGUUAUCCCCAGAUAUGGGCUGCCUAGAGUGAAGCAGAGCAGGAGAGCAGGAGUUUUACCUCUCUUGUUUUGAUUCUUCACUUGUUAAAUGUACCUACCGUGGAAACAAAAUGCAAUCUAUGAUCAAAUAUCCUUUUGUCGGUAGCCAUUUCGCUUUUUAAAACUCAGAACUGUGAGAAAACUGCAAAACUCUUGAAGAUUUUUCACACAUAUUGUUAUGAAAACACAUCUCCCCAUUGGGUGUUUAAGUUAUUACACAGGACCUACAGCAAUCGUAAUGGAAUAGGGUUUUAAAUAGCUUCAUCAUAUCCAUCAAUAUAAAAAUCAUUGAAUGAGAUAGAAACCCUUUGAACCGAUAUUGGAAGGAUAUCAAAGUGAGUUUUUAUUUAUUCUAGGAAGGUUAAAAAACAUAAUUUCAUUUAUUUUCUACUAACAUAAAAACUGUAAACUUUCCACGGGGAAAGGAGUACUUUAAAAAUAGCUCAUCUGUCUGGGUUGAUAUGUUUUGGGCUAGGCUUGGAAGUUUUGUGCAGCGAAGCCUUUUGGAGGAAGGCAUUUUAGUGUCUGCCAUGUGCCUUCUUUUCAGGCUAUAAAUGUCCCAGAAUAUAUGCCUGUUUCUCCCUUUUUCACCUGUUCUUUGACUAAAGGCUGUUUAAGGAGCCAUCCUACUCAGAUUGCGCUUACCCCACAGAAGCAAGGCAUCAGUAAAGUUGAUCACACACAGGCACUUGUGAAAGAGAUGGUGACUCAGACUUGCUGGAUCUCAAGCUCUUGCUAGAUCAAUACUCGCUGCAACAGUGUAGCUAUUGACUUGGAAUUCAUUGCCAUAAACACCAUUUGUCAGCCUUCCAGAGAGAAGAGUUCCAUGACCAACCUAAAGACUGGCUCACUCCUGUGAUUAGUCAUUCCCAUCUAAUUGAGUGAGUGCUUAUUAUCUAGGCAUUUCCAGACCUUAGUCACCCGUGAGCAGCAGUGAGAUGUGGUAAUGAGUCUGCACUAGUGGGCUUAGUGUUAACGGCAGCUCUCCUAUUGUCACGUUUAUUAGGCAGGCACCAUGUGCUGAGUUUGGUAGAGGACUUUGAAAGGACAAGGUUGCUGCCUUUAAUGAGUGAACAUAUUAAGGUUUAAUGAUCUCUUACCAAAGAAUUGAUCCUUUCUUAGAUAAAGGACAAUAUAUCACUCUAGAAAUAAAGUAACACUUUAAUAGUUUUACCUCACCAAGCCUUUCAGAAUUUCAUCGAAUAAGAUUCCAAGGAUUCAUUAUACCUGAUGGUAUCACUCAGAUGCUGGUAAGGGAGGGAGACAGUGUAAUGGAGAAAAAUUUUUUGUCUGCUGAAAUGCCUUAUUGUAUAAAAUAUUUUAUAGGUGUUUCAAUAGACUCUAUCUUCUGAUGUGGGGAAAACUUUGUUUAACUAAGAAAGCACAUUUCCGAGAGUGCUGGUUUGAAGUAAAACAAUGCACUCCCAGUUUGAUUGGCUUCCCUGGUUCUGCAGUCUCUGCAUCCUGUCUUUAUUUGAAAAGGCAAGAUGCCCUCUCUUUGAGUAAUGUCAAAUUGUACACAGAAUUGCGCCUGCUUCCAGUAAGCCACUGGGGUCACUGCAGUUACAGGAACAGGUCCUUAUGCCUCAGACAUGUAAAUAAAUAGCUCUUUAGUAUUUCAGAGGCUUAUCAAUUCUGAGUGCCCAACCACAGUGCAGCUGGGCAAUUGACCACACAUUUUGGCUCACGGAUUACUCUUUCUUUGAUGUGCUCUAGCUGUGGGAUGGUCUCAACUGUCCCUCACCCUCCUCACUAGCAUUGCCCUUUUCUUCCAUUACUCUAUGCUGGCUUUGCAUAAGAGGAAAGAAAUAAUAUUUGACUGUCAAUAAACCUCUCAGUGAGCAGAGCUAUUAAGGAACAAAGUACUUUUACAUUUCAGAGUUGGUGCUUAGGUCACCAAGCUAUCCACUCUUGUAUCAAGAAGCAGUCUACCUGGCAAGAGAGUUAGAAAAUAGCCUUCACCAAGGGGCUUAGAUUUUGUCUUGUCACUUUUGAAAAGAUUAAUAUGUAUGAGCAUCUCUCUCGAGCCUCUGAAAGGAUUGCUGGGUGGAGGGUGGAAACCCAGUCACCGAAAUCCCCAUGGAGAAACGAUAAGGAGUUGGAGUGAACAGCUGCUUGAAUGGAUGCAUUAAGCUGACAUUAAAAUCACCAAAGUGUUUAAGAAAUCCACUAAUAACACCUAGCAAGGCUCAGGGGCAGAAUCGAUUUAGGGAGUUCAAGAAAUUCCACACCUGGUUUGGUGCAGUAAACCCCAAAGUCAUUAUGAAGAAUUAGUUAAGCCCCUUGUUCCUCCUGCAUUUAUUUUCCCUGAUCCUAUUUAGUUCCUUCUUCAAUUUGCGAAUACACAGGUGUAUGCUGAUCUCAGCAGCUCAUGAAUAUUUGAAAACUAAACUUUCUUGCAAAGGAAUUUAACAAACAAAAGUUUCAAAGCACUGCCUUAAAUUCACAUUGUCUGACCCCUCAAGCCCAAGGAAGCAUUUGGUAAUGCUUUGACUAAGAGAAAAGGUGGAAAUACUGUAGUCUGUGACUGUGGACCUUUCAGGGCCACUGUCGGUUUAGUAUGACAAUAUGCAUCAUUCAUGUGACAAGCAUUUAUUGAGCACAUACUAUGUGUUAAGACUCUGCUUGGUGCUGGAGAAUAUAGCUAUGAAGAAGACAAAUGUAUCCCUAGUCUUUAUAGCGCUUAUAAUCUUAUGGGAAGAUGAAGAUAUGUAAGAGGCAUAAGCAGGCAAUUUUAAAAUAUAGAAGUAAAUGUUAUUUUUGAAGAUAAAGACCAUUUCCAUGAGAACUUUUAAUCCUGUACUUCUUCCCAUACUAAUUUAAUCCUACACAGAUACCAUGGAGAUGUUUUAUUAACUGUGUGAUUGAUAGUAGAACAUAUUGAUUGAUUUUGUCCCUGGCACUUGAUUGGGUGUCAUAAUGAAUGCUGGAAAUAGAAUCCAAAGGAACUUUAAUAUAUUUAAGGGCCAGGCAUGGUGGCUCACACCUGUAAUCCCAGCACUUUGGGAGGCUGAGUUGGGUGGAUCACAAAGUCAGGAGUUUGAGACCAGCCUGACCAACAUGGUGAAACCUCAUCUCUACUAAAAAUACAAAAAUUAGCUGGGCAUGGUAGCACAUACCUGUAAUCCCAGCUACUCAGGAGGCUGAGGCAGGAGAAUUGCCUGAACCCAGGAGGCAGAGGUUAUAGUGAGCCAAGAUUGUGCCACUGUACUCCAGCCUGGGAGACAGAGAGAGACUUCAUCUAAAAAAAAAAAAAUUAUUGGGAGGCCAAGACGGGUGGAUCACGAGGUCGAGAGAUCGAGCCCAUCCUGGUCAACAUGGUGAAACCCCAUCUCUACUAAAAAUACAAAAAAUUAGCUGGGCAUGGUGGCACAUGCCUGUAAUACCAGCUACUGGGGAGGCUGAGGCAGGAGAAUUGCCUGAACCCAGGAGGCGGAGGUUGCAGUGAGCCGAGAUCGUGCCAUUGCACUCCAGCCUGGGUAGCAAGAGUGAAACUCUGUCUCAAAAAAAAAAAAGAAAAACAAAAAAAAAAUUAUAUAUAUAUAUAUAUAUAUAUAUAUAUAUAUAUAUAUUUUUUUUUUUUUUUUU